AAUUAAUAAUGUAUAACCGAAAGAGGAGAAAAAGAAAAAUUAAAAAGGACAAAAAAAAAGAAGAGAGUAAAAGCUUCUUGCAUGAUGCUUUGCUUGCUCACAUACACUCACUAUGCAACCAACCUCAUUAUUUACUUAAUUGAUCCCCAAUCUUUGUGUGAAUGUAGCUAAUUAAAGGAUCUCUCCUCCUUCUCUCUUACAAUCCUAUAUGUUUUCUUUUUUUUUUUUUAAUUUCCCAUUUAAACGUAGUUAAAAUGAUCUAAAACUAUUUCUUUUAGUUAAAAUUUGAGUGUAAAAAAUAUAGUACAUUAAAAUUAUUAAUGGUUAACAAUUAUAGUUGUUAGCAUACUGAUCAGUUCUAAAGGCAUAACCUGCCAUCAUCUAAUGUAAUAUUAAUUGUCUUUAUUAUGUAAUCAAAACAUUAAAUUAUCGAAAUAUGAUAAUAUUUAUAUUCAAUACUCCCUUAUCUCUCAGAAAAAAUACUCCCUUUACGUCUUGGCUCGAUAUUUUUUGAUAGGCAUAAAAUGUUGUGGCGGAACUCAAAUUUAGGAUCUCUCCCUCUAGUACCAUGCAUGUAAAAUAAUGCGAAAUAAGUUUUGGUCUUCAAAAGCUUAAGUUACCAGGAAUAAUAUUUUUAAUAUUUAUAUUCAACAGCUAGAUAAUAAUUAGGAAUUUUCUUUUAAGUAGAAGAAAAUAAGAAGGGAUUGAAAGACACAAAGAACAUAUAUAUAUAUACCAGAAACAUCUAAUAAGAAGUUUGGACAUUAAUUGGAGGAACGUCACUAACUUGAGAGGAUGUUUCUUUUCAUUUCUUGAGCCUCAUUAACAUGGACGAUGCACGGUAGGAAUUAGUAACGUCAAAACAAGAAGGAUAUCUUAUUUUCAGAUUUUUUCUUUUUAAAUGAUAUGUUAAUAACCCUUGUUUAUAAAUUUUUUUGGCUUGUUGAAACUCUUUUUUUUUUUUUUUUUUUUUUGCUAAGUGAGGCAUCAGUUAAUUUAUGAACUGAUUAUUAGUUAGUUCUUAGAUAGCAUUUGAUAAUCUUAUUGAAGGCAAAAUAAGAACACAAAAGUUGCCUUCUUAUAUUAACAAUCACCAGUUGGACAACUGAUUAUUCCAAAGCAUUUGUACACUGAGCUACAAUCUUAAUACUCCGAAAAUUUAUCUUCAAGAUAAUUAAUUUAACCUCAUUAUCAAUAAAAGUAUCCAUAUAGCAUUUCAUAAGAAGUUAUUUGUGAAAGAAUUUGGUUUGCCCCUACGCGCUAUUGACCAUGAAAAUAUGUUUUUGUGAGCUAGAUAGAGAGAAGAACAAAUUAAUUUUAUACCUAAAUUAAAGACUUGAACACGUCAACUAAUGUACAAACUCACUCUGCCUCUUUAAAGAUAAUAUCCUUUUAUCAUCUAGAUUGUGCAAUUUCGAUCCGAUUGAGGUCGAAUCGAGAUAGCAGAGUUGGACAACUUGAUUAUAAUUUGAAAAUAUUUCAGCAUUUCUGUGUGCUUUCGUGGAAAUUUUAAGGACAUUAUCGUGAGAAUACGAUGUUCUCCACAUAGCUAAAUGGAAAAUCGAUCAGCGCAACAUCCUAUAUAUAUAUAUUUUGAACAAAGUCUUAAUCUAAUUAAGGAUUACUCUUCAUUAAAAAUAAACAUAGUUACUAAGAAACAUCUUUUAGAUGUUCCAAAUGACUCUUCUUUCUUAAGCUAUGAACCUAAUGUUCGCCGAGAGACCGGAAAUGUAAAGAGUGCAUAACAUGAACAGGAAAUAAUAUAUCAAUUAUCCCUUACACUGCGGUAACAAAAUAACAGAUUGGCAUGUUCUUUAGUCAUGUGGGAACACUUAGAAAGCUAAUGUUGACCUCUUGAUCAUCUAAGGAAAUUGUUGGAGAAUGGGAAUUUUUUAGGAGGAUAUUGACUACUAAUAUAUGUAUAAUAGUACCAACAUAAUAUAUAAUAUAUAUAUAUAUAUAUAAUAUAUAUAUGUAUGUAUGUGUGUGUGUAGAGCUACUAUAUAUGUGUAGCUAUCGAAGUAUAGAGGAUAUGAUGCUUCCAACUAUUUGAUCAUUGGAUAAAAAUUAUGCGUUGGAUGAUUGCGGUCUCCCAGGGUUGAGUAGUACUACUAGGUUGAGUGGUCUCCACAAGUUAAUAGUAUUAAUUCAAAGAUUAAAAAUAAUUAAAUGGGUUGAUCUAAGGUCAAAAAAUUGGAAGCAUCAGAUUCUAUAUGCAUGCUUCCGAUAGCAUAGUAUCUCUACUAUAUAUAAUAUAUAUAUAUAUAUAUAAUAUAUAUAUAUAUAUAAUAUAGUGCUGGUGUGUGUAAAUUUAUAAUGUGCAAAUGUGCAUUAGUUUCAAUGGCCAAAACAUGUCUCAUGACUAUGGCUGCAAUAUUGAUCUCACAAAAGUCAUGCUAGUAAUCAUAAAGUCCACAAUUGAUGGGGACUAUGUUUAUAUAACUUAUUACCAAUGACACGUAAAUUCCUCUUCGUCACUAUCUCUAUGCUCAAGAACUUCAUUUUGUGAUAUAAACCAAGUACCAACUCUAUCUUGGAUCAUAUAUAAAAACGAGAAAGAAAAGGAAAGUAAAACAAACAUUGCUAAACUAUAUAUUGUUUUAGUAGAAAUAAUCACAUGGUCACAUAAGUUACCGAAUAAAAAAUUUAAGAUUUUUUUUGUUUAAAAAAACAAUACUAUCUUUUGAUUAUAUAAAGAUUUUUAGGCUCGUCCAAUUUUUUUUUUUUUCAAAAAAGAAAACUGCUUCUUUAGUGCUUAUUUCUAAAAACAUAUUUUAUAAAAGUAGCAAACUAAUCGAAAAAUGACACAUUAAAAUAAUAGUAAAAUCUCUAUUCCUCAACAAGGAAACUAUGUGGCAAAUUAGUCUUAUAGUCGAAGAGAGAGAGAGAGAGAGAGAGAGAGGCCCUGUUUGGGCGAUCCAUCCACACUUGCGAAACAAGCGAAGCAACGCCACACUUCGGAAACCGACUCCCACGUGCGACCGUGCCACCACCCUCUACUCCUCUCGACACGUGGUGCACGCCUUCCUCCUCAAAGCAAUGUGUGCGCGCGGGCGUCACACACACGGUCCCCCCACCCGCCAUCCUUAUAAAGCAACGUGGUGGUGCCUAUACUUCUUUAUAUAGCUCUCUCCUUUUCCUCUCAUCAUCUCCUUUUUCGUUUCUCUCUCUCUCUCUCUCUCUCUCUCUAUCUCUCUCUCGCUCUCAUUUGUUGUGUUGGGUUGCGUUUUAUGUUUUGGUGUUGUUGUGGAUACUAAAGAGGAGGAGUACUAAUUAAGUACUGUAUACUGGGGAGAAUGGGGAGGCAACCGUGUUGUGAUAAGGUGGGACUAAAGAAGGGCCCGUGGACGGCGGAGGAGGAUAAGAAGUUGAUCAACUUCAUCCUCAACAAUGGCCAAUGCUGCUGGAGAGCUGUGCCCAAGCUCGCAGGUCUCUAUUCCACAAAUUUAUUCACAAAUUUAUUUCGUACGCUUCUGCUAUCAUAUAUUUCUGGACCUGUUUCCUACUACAUCAAUAUUUAACGAGUCACCGACCGUCCCUAGAGCAAGUGGCAAAAGGUUUGGCGGUUGGUACCUGAGGUUCCAAGUUCGAAUCUGAAUGAUUCAUAUUUCCAGCUAAGUUUAUUUCUAAAUGAAAUAAACGGAGCGGAUAGCGUGCUACCUAUCUCUUAAAAAAAAAAAAAAUUUUAACGAGUUAUAAUGUAGAAAAUUAGUUAACAUAUAUUUCUCGGCCUGUUUACUCAAACAUUCCUUCUUAUCAUGGAAUAUUAGUCCAUUAAUAAUGCAUUGAAAAAUGCUUUUUUUUUUUUUUAGUUUUUUCACCACCUUCUUCUUUUGAGAAGUGACAAUGGUUUUUGGGAUUAUCUUACUUAAUUCCUUGCUUAGUUUUGAUAGGAGUUCUCCAGCAGUGGAAACGUAGUAGGAUCGUGAGGAGGAAAUUAAGUUAGGAAAUGGGUGUAUACUUAAUUUGUUUAGAGGUGAAUAAUUUGAUUUUUGGUGGGUUUUGGCAAGUUUUCAUGUAACUUUAAUAGUUGAUUGAUCUUUGUGGAAUAGGGCUGCUGAGGUGUGGGAAGAGUUGUAGGUUAAGAUGGACAAAUUAUCUGAGGCCUGAUUUAAAGAGGGGUUUGUUAUCCGAGUCUGAGGAGAAGCUGGUCAUUGACCUACAUGCCCAGCUGGGAAACAGGUUCUCUGUUUUUGUUUCUCUCCUCUUUUUUUUUUUUUUUUUUUCUCCGUAUGUUAUUUUCAUUUUAGUAGUUGAAUUAUUUGGCAUUACUACCCAUUGCUCUCUCUCUCUCUCUCUCUCUCUCUCUCUCUCCAAGGAUUAACAAAAAUGGGGGUUUGAAUUUCAUCUGACUUAAUAGUUCUCUUGCUUUUCUCCUAUUUAUUUUUUGUAAAAAUUUACAGAAUUUAUCUGAGCUAUGAUAUAUUUUGAUUCAGCUGCCCAGCCUUUUAAAAUUUUGAUUUUACUAUCCAAAUAUUUUAAAUUUGUUUGAUUUGAGACGGUCAACGAUAUUUUAACUUCAAACUUUAAACUAAUUAUUUUAUUUGUUGAAUUUAUAAUUGCGAGAAUUAUCUGAAGUAUACUAUACAAAUAUGUAAAAAUAAACGAAACAUUGAAAUUUAAAAAUAAAAGUACCGCUUACCGACUCUAAUCAAACAAAUUGACAAGUUGAGUAAUAAAAUUAGAAUUUUGAAAGAUUAGAUAGUUAAUUCAAAAUGAUGCAUAGUUCAAAUAAGCUUGAUAUAUUUUAACUUUUAAUUAUUUAACUUUAGAAGGAAUUAUUAAAAAUUUCAAUCCUAGACAUGAAUAUAAUUUUAAAUAUCUCUUUGGUUUUUCUAAGCCAAAAUUUCUCUCCCUUUGAUAGAUGGUCUAAGAUUGCAUCCCACCUCCCCGGUCGAACUGAUAACGAGAUCAAGAAUCACUGGAACACCCACAUUAAGAAGAAGCUUAGAAAGAUGGGGAUUGACCCUCUCACUCACAAGCCCUUGGGUCUAUCUGAUGACCUCCCAAAACAGCAGCAGCAGCAGCUAGAAGCUGCUCCUUUAGCUGUUGUAGAUGAACACAAUGAGAAGCUCCCUCCAAAGGAGGACCCAGAAGAAGAAGAAGAAGCACAAGAGAAGCAGAGCAAUCCUUAUCCAACCACCUUUGAUCCCAUGGAAGCUGAUGAGUUCCUCAGCAGAUCACCUGGGUUUUGCACCGACGAAGUGCCCAUGAUACAGCCCCAUGAGAUCAUAGUCCCCUCUUCUUCUUCCUCUUCUGCUUCCUCCUCUACCUCUUCCUCUGCUUCUUCCUCAUGCUCUUCUUAUUCUUCUUCAAGUGCUUCUGUGAAAGCAGAGGAGGCUCUGUUUCCAUUCAUGGAGUGGCCUGAGUCAAUGUACCUCAUGGGUCUUGAUGAUAUCAUGGGAGGGGAUUUGUGUGUCGAUGGUGGGGAUGGGAGACUCAGUUCUGAUCCCUUUAACCAGUAUCAGAGAAGUGCUUUUGAUCAAGAAGCUUGGAAAUUGGAGCUCUUUUGAUUUGCUUCAUACAUGUAACAUUUGCUCCAAAAUCCAACAACAACAACAAAAAAAAAAAACAGAAAUAAAGAAGAGAGUGUGUGAGAAAUUUUUAAGUUUCCUCUCUUUCGCUUUACUUUGGGAUUUAAUUGUCGAUAAAGUGUAAUAAAACCACAAGAUAGUGACACUGUCCCUUUAAUCAUCUCACUUUUCAUUUUGUCAUGGAAAAAUUAGGUCAUGCAAAAGGUUAUAUAUCUCAUAAUUUUUAUUUAUUUUUUAGCGAAUUGGGAUUAUUUUGAUGACAUAAAAAAAAAAAGAAAACCAAAAGGUGGCAAAGUUGAUGGGGUUUUUUUGAUACUUGUGAGCCAGGUGUAAUCAAUCAUUUGAAGGAAACAAAAAGUUUUGCUUCCUUAAAAUAGGAAGAAAUUAAAAGGUUUUUAAGGAAAAAGUAUGCACGAUGUUAAAAAGCUUUUAUUAGUGGAUGCAAACACAUCUGUUAUAUUUUUUUUUAAAUAGUGUUUUAAAAAUCUGGUUGAAUUGGCCUGUCGACCAUAACUCAGUUCCUAUGCAAACACAUCAAGUAAACCAGCCAGGAAUUAAUUGAAUUAGUCUGAGUUAUCACUUACAUGUUUAUCCAUUAUUAGACAUUAAAUCGUUUUGAUUUAAAAUUUUUUAAAAAUACUUUGUAAAAUAUAUUUAUUUAUUUUCUUUGUCUUUAUUUUUUAAUAUAAAACAUUAAUAAUUAAUUAUUUAUGAUAAUAUUAAUAUGCUGACAACAUUUGGUUUGAUCGAUGGAACCCAACAUCUUUUUCGGCUUGUAACCAGCUGCCAAUUUUAAAAUAGUACUUAAUAUUUAAUAGCUUAUUAUCGACCGUUUCUAAUACAAGUUACAAAAAGGUUUAAUAAUUGGUAUCUGAAAUUCAGAUUCAAAUUUUAGUUAUUUCACAUUUUCAGCUACAUAUAUUUUUUACAAAAAUAAACAAAACAAUUUAUAAUAGAACAAAAGGGUCCAAGACUAAAUACCCAGGUUCCAACUAGGGAGGGGAGGGGUUUUUUGUAAUAGUGACAGGUCGAAAGUAGUGGCAACAGGUGGUGUAUUUAAAAAUUUAGACAUUCCUUUAAAAUUAACUAAUAAGACUAGUGUAAAUUUAUUAAUUUUUAGACACAAAAAAAUAUAAGAUUUGCACCUACUUUGAAUGUACAUAUAGUAUGCUAUUCUUUAUAUUCGUCCUUGCAUUUUUUUUAACGAGAUCACAAGUCCCAGCCAACGGGUUAGGACUUAGGUGCUGCACAUAAAUUGAUUUGGCUUGAAUAUAUCAAUUGAAUCCUACCCUGUUAGUAUCCAACUUUUCCUGUAUUUUUAGUUUUAGUUUCAUCUUUAUUUUUAUUUUUAUUUUUUUCACGCCCCCUUCCUUCUGUUUUUUCACUUUUCUGAGGCCCUAACUACCUCACUUCAUGUAACUAAUUUUAUUUUCUUAAUGAAUGAAGCAGGUAGCAUGUUACAUUUCUCUCAAAAAAACUUUUCCUGUAUUGUAAUUGAAACUUGCUUUAAAAGCAAAUACUGGCAAGUAAUACAUUUUUUUUUUCCCUGAAUAUAUAUUUGUACACUAGCCACACACAUACACUUGCUCUUAGUACAUAUCUAAAUCCGAAAUAAAAAUAUAUAUCAACUGUUCUAAAUAAUGAUGACAGUAACACAUAUUAUUUUUAUUUGGACGUGCAUGCAAGUUUUAUUAUAUUGCAUGUUCAUUUGAAGAUGCUCGCUGCUAGUUAGACAGUAUUGGAACAAAAGAUCUAAAUUCUAACCACUAGAAUACCUAGCUACCAAUUGAUGCUUAGUGGUGGUGUUAGAUUAAAGUAAAGUACUUCAAUAUAAGAGUAUAUCACUGUCGAUCGCAUGUGGCUAGACCAUCAUGCUUAGCAAAAGCUUACUAGACCGUGAUAUUAUCAUUUUCAAAAUUUAGAUUUUAUUCAUUUUCAAAAUAUUAUAAAAAACGAACGGGUCGAUCCUAUCCAUUUGUAGCUCUAUCAAUGCUAUUACAGAAAAAUCCACGAGUAUUUUGUUUUCGCAUCACGGUUCUCUCGUCUCGCAAAGAACCAAACCGAUCGAGUUGUGUUUUAAUUACAAAGCCGAAGCUACGCAAACGGAAUCUUCGAGCGGUUUUGACUUUGACUUUCCGCGCACAAAUUCAACGGACGCCACGAAGACGAAUAGCGGCGCUCCUCGACAGUUUCUUCGCGCCUUUAUUUUUGUUUUUUUUCUCUCUUUCUCUCUCCUUUUACUUCCGCGUACGCGCCAAAUUAAAGACUUUGAAGACGCGGUUCGACGCCACGUCAUCACUAUCCACUACUACUUGUGGACUCCACUUUCGUGCCACGCCGCACGAGUUUGCCACACGUGUGAGCCUUAUUUUAGGUGUUGAUUAAUGAUGAAAAAAAACGAAAAAAAAACAAGAUAUAUUACAAAGGCAAGUAUACGGUGUGCACGUACAAAUAAUAAUGAAUGAAAUAAACAUUAAAGAUGUUUAUGGGUUCCCACGUUAAUUAAUUUCCUAUUUUUUAUCUCAUGUAAUAAUUCUACAUACCUUGUAAUUCAUCAUCCGUGUAUGCACAAUGUUAAAUAUUUUAUUAGUUACAGUUAUUUCUUACUAGAUCGAUGUUUUAGGUAACAAUGUUAUGCUUACAACAAAUAACUACAUUAAGAAAAGUGUUCUUAUCAGUGCAUAUUAAUUCCUGUUCUAUUGAGGAAAUUUGAUGUUAUUCGAUGCUUGAAAUGCAAAGAGUUGCUUUCUCAAGACUUAUAUAUAUAUGCUUGUAGUUACUCAUUUAGGCUUAGUUUGGUAUUAUGAUCAAUCUGACACUAUUAGAUAAAAUGGAAUUGGGGUAAAAGUAUAUAAGGAUAGGCUUCUGCAUUCACCAGUAAAACCGCAAAAAAUAUAUCUUAACUGACUUAAUAUGCGAAGCGAAAUAUUACGUAUAGAAACAAACAAUAUAUUUUUUCAUCGUUCUUUCUCACCGCACGUAACGCAAUGUCUCCGCAAUCUCAAACUCGAAGCCUUAAUAGUAAGUAACACUCGGAGAAGCAAGUUCCGAAGGGAAAGUAUUCCGCUUUGCUUCUAGAUAGCAAUAAACUUCCUGAAAUGACAUGUUGAUUUAGAUAGAGGUCCUUGUUCUCAAAGAAAGAAAUUAUAACUAUUACAUUGACCUAGUCCACCAUGUUAGCUGUGGAUUGGUCAAUGAAUGUGUGUUCAUACAUCUCUAUUUUAUACUAUACAUAUAUAUAUAUAUAUAUAUAUAUAUAUAUAUAUAUAGCGCAAGUUUGUUUACAAUUUUUUUUGAAGAAAGGUAGCAUGUUAUCAGUCUCCUUCAGUUUUUUUAAAAAAUAAACUUAGAAUUUCAAAUACCAACUAUCAAAUUUUUUUGCCAUUCACGUGAGGAACGAUCCGUUAUAGUGUGAGAUAUUGAAAGUAGAGCUAGAAUGGAUAGUAAUCAACUACGACUAUUCCACAAUUGACGUCUUAGACUGCGUCUAAACAAUAAUAAAUUCCUCUAGUAAUGAGAUCAUGCAUAUGUAUAUAAUUGAAAAUUAGCUCCUUAUUUUUUCCAAACGUGUAGUUAUCGAUCCUAUAUAUAUAUAUAUAUAUAUAUAUAUGAUCAACUUACAACUCGUCUUCCUAGUGUUCUUGUAGUCUUUUUUAAUUUUUUUCUAUAAGACUUGAUAGAAGUUUCUAGUCUUUCUCUUUUGAUUUACCCCCAUAGAAAUUUUUUCCAUAGAAUAUUAAGACUUGUUAAGCAUAUUACUAUAACAAAUCUUGCACUUAAGGACACUUUAAAUAAUAACUAGCGACGUUUUGAAGUGUUGGCAAGAAUAAUCUCGAUGCUUGUAAAAAUGUCGAGUAAAGAGUCGUUACGUAAAUGUGUCGGGAUAAAUAUAUCGAUACUUUAAUAUAGUGUCGAAAAUUUUGAUUAGUAUUUAAUAAAAAUAUAUUUAUUGACUACGCUUAAUUAGAGUUUCGAUACAUGCCAAAUAUUGAAGACGCUAAAAUAAAGCGUCAUCUAAAAAACGUCGUCUAAAACAUAUUUUGUUGUAGUAUAAUUGUGAAUUUUAGCACUUACAUGAUAUAUAAAGUCAUACAAUUCACAUUAGCUCCCUUAUUUCUAAGUCUAAGAUGUACAAAAGAUUAGGUAGGCAAACUUCUUUCAAGUAAUUUGACUAUUUAAGUUAGACUUGAAAAAAAAUCUACCAUAUAUAAUAUAAUGGCAUUCAAAGUAAGCACGAGAACAAUUUUUAAUAAAGAUAUAAUAUUAAAACAUCAUUCUCAAGCACUAAUUAAAGGAUGUUGAUAGCGUAAUGCCGGAGAAAAAUCUCAUAAUUAGGAACGCAACAAUUCAAGUCCAUGCAAAUAUUUAACUAAAAAGAUCCCAAGUUGUUCUCUUGGAUCUAUUAAAAAGUUCUCGAAGUACUCUACACUAGCCAAAACCCUCAAGAACUACAAUACUAGUACGCAUACGGAAGGAAAAUCUCAUCCCUUUCAAUGUGGAUACUUACUAGCGAAAAUUUCAUCAUAUGCAUACAAAGAUAAAAGCUGUUUUUCUUUUUUCCGUUUUUAAUUGAACUUUCUUUUUCUUUUCUUUUUGAUUAAUUUCCUUUUCUGAAACGAGUUUUUGAACUCUCUAGGUCCAACAGUAGGAAAGAUAACACCGUGUUGAAAUAUCACUACGAUUUAAACAUGCAUGUUAUUUAAUCUUAUAGUGCGUAGUCUCUUUCAUGCCAGUUCAUUUUGGGCUGCGCAAGCUAGUUUGAAUAGACUCGUGUGAGGCCAAAAAAUAAUUUGGAGGCUCCUCUAGAAACUGCAUUCAUUCUAGAGACUAGCUAAUUAUCUUGGUUGACUAGUUCUAAUUAAUCGUGUGGUUCUAAAAUAUUCUAUGCAGGAAAAAUUUACGAGAAAUUUAAGAUUUAGUAUCUGUUUUAACUUUUAGCUAUAUCUAUUUCUGUUUGAGUGCUUCAAAAAAUAAAAUGACAAGUAGUCACGAACCCUUAGAUCUCAAAAUCAAAAAACUUUAAUUUAAAAAUUUUUAACAGAUUGAUUUACUGAAAAAAUAAAUAUAAAUACUAGAAAUACUUUGGAUGAUGGUAGAAGCAGUAGCUUUUCUGGUGGAAAAAUUCUAGAAUGCAACGGGUAUAUUGGUGACGUGGAGUUACAAACCAAUCAAAAAUCUCCUUUUAGAAAUAUAUGUCACAUCAUGAUUAUAAAAAAAUAUUUUUAUUAUACUUUUGUUUGAAAAAAAAAAAGAUGAUUGGCUUAUUAUUGAUGACGUGGUGCAAGUGUGAUAGUGUAGAAUUCUUUCUUCUGGUGUGGAUCCUCGAAAUAAAAGAUACCGGAUGACGUGGGUCCCACCCCUUCCUCGUUCAGGGGCCACACGCGAGCAUGCACGAGCCACACAUGUAAACAACGGGCUCACGACAAAACCUAGUGUGUGCCCUACCAUAUCCCAUGCAUUAUAUGCAAGUGCUUAGAGAGAGAGAGAGAGAGAGAGAGAGAGAGAGAGAGAGAGAGGAGCCCACAACACACCAUUCCCUCUUCCAGUAAUUAAUACCCAGGAGAUCGAUGGGUUGUGUUGUGUCCCAGCCACCAGGCUUUUCAAUUUCAUCUUUUUCAUCUUUUUGAAAUCGAUGGAAGAAGCACGGGAAAAGUGUCUACCAAACCGCCAUAAAAGAAAAGGAAAAGCUCAAACUUUAUUGGCGCAGAACAGCGAGAAGAAGAUGAAGAAAAAGGAAAAAAGAAGAAGAAGAAGAAGAUGCGGUGUUAAGCAUCUCAAUGAUUGCACACCUAGUGAUCAAUGAAUUAAGUGUGUGCGCCACCAUGUAUAGAUAGAAUAGAUACAUAUAUAUAUGGGAGGAGAUGCAUGCAGUGUAGUAGUGGAGUGAUCACUGAUCAGUGAGUGUGUCGUUUGCGUGGGUUGGUUUUGUGAAGCGGCAGCGGCGCGGGUGUUUUCUGGGGCGGUGGAGGCGUGGGCGUGGUCGGUGCGGCUCGGUCCCCUCACGCCCCGGGCCGCAGCGGUUGGCAGGGCUGAGGCCGUGCCACGUGGUUCUUUAAAUUCGUGUAAAAGUUGUUAGUGGUUCACUGGGUCCCGGCCCGCAAGGGGAGGAGUUAUUCUUUGCACCUGGUGCAACCGGCGUAUCUGUGCGCCGGUACUCAGUCACCUGUACGCUUUGCGCGUGAAACACCUGUAUCUUUUCCCCCAAAAAUUUAAGCUAUCACCGACCGUUCCUAGAGCAACUGGCAAAGGACUUGAUGGUUGGUACUCGAGACCCAAGUUUGAAUCCUAGUUGAUUCAUAUUUUCAGCUAAAUUUAUUUCUAAAUAAAAUAAAUAAAGCGGCGUACUACCUAUCUCUAAAAAAAAAUAAUAAAUUAAGCUAUCAGAAAAUUAAUUAUUUAUAUUCCAACGAAGGAUGGAACAUAUAUAUAUAUACAAUAAAAAGUAAUUAAAAAAAAUCAAAUGCUUAGUGGGAUUUGAUUUCAGAAUUUUUUAUUUUAAUAUAUGUAAAAGUUACAUUUAGAGGCAGACAAUUUUUUCACACUAAAAAUCUUGUAAUUUCAACACUUCGUUUGAGAAAAGGAGAACGAAAAAUAAAUAAUUAAGAGUAAAGAAAAUGUAUUUAUAAUUUGUCAUGAUGUUUGGAUGUACAAGAAUAAUAAAAAUAAAUCUAUUUUUUAUUCUCUUUGUUACUCUCCAUUAUUCAUCUUAAUUCCCAUUCUAAACAAGUAAAAUAAAAUUUUAUUAUUUUUAUCUAAAAAAAUGGCCCCAGAGGAAAAAAGAUUAGAAAAUAUGAAAUAAAUAAAGUAAGAAGCUAACUAAUAUAUAAUUGGGUGGCGUACAAAUGUACAUAUGCACGGGGUGUACGAAAGAUUGUUUUAAGACUGGGUGGGAGUAAACUAAUUAGGUGGUCCAGAGUUGCAUACCAAUUGUUUGUUCUCAAUAUAUUCAUCAUGGAAUAAUCGAUCGAAUUCCACAGGCUUAAAUAAUGAUGAGAAUUUGGAUAAAAUGACACGUAAGAAAAUAUGUAUAUGUUAUCUCGUGUACUAAGUUAGGAAAAGAGUUAUAUAUAUAUAUGAUGAUGUGGAAAAUGUAUCUUAUUCUUUUACGUAGUGCAUACGUAAGCGAAGCAUCAUGAUCAACUCCUAAUCAUCCAGGGCUGGUCUUUUUGAGGAGAUUUUUAGCAAUGGUGGAAGAACACUCAAAAACAAAAUUUGAAAACAAAUCUAUCUUAUCGAGCUCCAAAUCUCUUUUCUCCUUAGUGCCCUGCAACUUAGCACAACUAGUAACAUUGGUCCAGUAAAAAGCUUAUUGAGUGGAAAUAUAUAUGCAGGCUUUUGAUGGACGAGUAUAAUUCGGGCCUAUGUACCUUUCUAAGUUGAAUGAUGCAGGUUUCACCCGAUUAGUGACUACGAAUAAAAAGAUUAAAUAAACAUAGCUUGUUUUUCCAAAUAAAUCCUUACAAGAUUUGAAUUUUUAACUUCGAUCCGCCCUUCGAAACUAUACUCCUAUGUUGAUAACCGUUUAAACUAAUUUGAACAGCUGUUUUUUCCUCCAAAAACUUAAGGUUAAAGUAAUUUGAGGCAGCGAAAACACUUAAGUAUAGAAUUUUUCAGGGCAUGCACGUAAAAGAGCCAAAGGUUACUAUCAUUGGCUCUUUCUUUUUUUUUGAGCAGGAGAAAGAUAGUAUGUUACCCGUUUCGUAUAUUUUUUAAAAAAAUAAAUUUAGCUGAAAAUGUGAAUGAAUUAGGAUUCGAAUUUGUGACCUCGGAUACCAACCACUAAAUCCUUUGCUACUUGCAUUAGGAACGGUCAGUGUCAUUAACUCCUCUUAUGUCAGGGAAAGUGAGAGAAAUAGCAGCAAGGGGAGAAUAUUCCCAUGCAACCACGCAUUGUUAGUUGAAAGAAUGGACAGUCCUAACCAAAUUGGCUGGAGCUCACCAAACCAUUAAUUCCUACAUAUGGUGAGACGCGUAAUAAUUGGUUACCGUGCCUCUAUAUCUGCAGCUUCUAAAAUAUUACAUAUAUUUUUGCGCGUAGUGUUCGCAUGUAAAUCGAUCAGCGCAAACCACGUACGUGUUGACGACUUUUGACGUAACAGUACUUUGAUUAUCAAACUAUAAGCCUAAAUAAUUUAACACUUUGAUGGUCACAUAGUAGUUAACAAAGUGAAUCAAAAUUUACAUGCUCGCAUCUAUUAUCAUCCAAUAUUCUUCCAGUAAUUCAUUCUUUUCUGGACCCCCCCCGCUCUCCGCGUAUUUUCCAAAUUAAAAAGUCGCGUAACCUCGUGGCAGAGAGUGAAGUAGCUAGAGAGAAAGAGAUCCCACGUUAGGGCAUUAUCUUUUUUUUUUUUCUUUUUCUUUUUUCUCUUUCCUUAUUAGGCCAUGAUGAUAGCCCAUGCAUUUGUUAUCAGUGGGUAUGACCCUCCAUUUUAAUUAAGUACCUUAUCCACUGACCCCUUCCACUAUUCCUUGAAUCCUUCUACAUUCUUCUUGUAAGUUGCAAAAGGUAUGAAGGAAUAUAUAUAUAUAUAUAUAUAUAUAUAGAGAGAGAGAGAGAGAGAGAGAGAGAGAGCAGGGCUGCUGUGCUCUCAGGAGCACGGAGGCCUCCGUGCUCCUGAGCCAUUUUCGAUGAUAGAGUUUCUGAAUCGACGAUCGACUCCGUUAAACUUGAUCUAGCGUAUUUGAAGAUUAUAGAAUUUUUAUAGAAUUUUUAUUUUCAACCGUUAAAAAUUAUUGCUUUUGAAUCCUUUCGAUUGCUAGAUAAAUGAUAUCGAAAAAUCGUAAAAAUUAUUUUCUAGAAACUUCAAAUACGCUAGAUCAAGUUUAACAAAGUUGAUCGUCGAUUCAGAAACUCCAUCAUCAAAAACGGCUCGGGAGCACGGAGACCUUCGUGCUCUUGAGAGCACAGCAGCCCUGCUUUAUAUAUAUAUAUAUAUAUAUAUAUAGUUUGAUUUGAAAUGGGACUAUGAAUAGUACUUUCCUAUCACAGGGAUUUGAAUAUUAUAAGGUCAUCCCUUUUCAUUUUUUUAAAGUACAGAGGAAUUCCCUUUCUCAACGGAAUGAGUUAAUUUGCUUUCACUUUUUUAAAGUGUAGAGGAAGUCUCUUUCUCAACGGAGUGAGUUAAUUUGUUUGUUUGUGAUAAAUAAUAUGAAAUAAUUGUUAUCUUCUGAAAACUUAAAUGGAUAGAAAAUAAUAUUUUUAUAUUUUUAUAUUUAACACGCUCUCCCCUCACAUCUGGCCCAUUAAGUGGGUUAUAAUUAAAUGGAAAAAAAAAUCAAUUGCGCUAGAAUUUUAGUGUGAUUCGAACUUAGCAUCUCAUGUUUUGGUAUCAUGUAAAAUUAUAUAAAAUAAUUAUUUUCUUCAAAAACUUAAACUAUUAGAGCAUGAUGUUUUAAUUUUUAUAUUUAACACUUUUUCUCACGUCUAGACUCAAGAGUUUUUGAUAGGCCUAAAACGUUGAUUUGAAUUAAAUAAUAGAAACUUAAAUAAGACUGAAAGCUUGGCAAAAUCUGAACUCAGGACCUUAUGUUCUGAUACCAUAUUAAAUAAUAGGUGACAAGUGUUAUUCUCUUAAGCUAAUAAAGAAUUAUAUUUUUAUAUUUUUAUAUUUAACUAUUUGUUUCUUUCUUUUCCUUAAUAGUGAGAUUGCGACUCACAAUUGGAAUGCAUGGUAUCAAAAUACUUUCGCAAAUUCGUCAUCCCUAUUGAUGCUUGACGCAUUCACAAGAUUGGUUUCUUAAUGAAGCACUAAGUUUAGAUGUACCCACUUAAACCUAAAGGCUUCUACACUACAUUUUUGGAACUAAGCAAAAAUGAAUAAUUUAUGUAUGAAACCAAUAGGAUAGAGUGGUUUCCCUGAUUAUUCCUUGGCGNGACUAUGAAUAUACUUUCCUAUCACAGGGAUUUGAAUAAUUUAAGGUUAUCCCUUUUCAUUUUUUUUAAAGUACAGAGGAAUUCCCUUUCUCAAUGGAGUGAGUUAAUUUGCUUUCACUUUUUUAAAGUGUAGAGGAAGUCUCUUUCUCAACGGAGAGAGUUAAUUUGUUUGUUUGUGAUAAAUAAUAUGAAAUAAUUGUUAUCUUCUGAAAACUAGAAAAUAAUAUUUUUAUAUUUUUAUAUUUAACACAUUCUUCCUCACAUCUGACCCAUUAAGUGGGUUAUAAUUAAAUGGAAAAAAAAUCAAUUGCGCUAGAAUUUUAGUGUGAUUCGAAUUUAGCAUCUCAUGUUUUGGUAUCAUGUAAAAUUAUAUAAAAUAAUUAUUUUCUUCAAAAACUUAAACUAUUAGAGCACGAUGUUUUUAAUUUUUAUAUUCAACACUUUUUCUCACGUCUAGACUCAAGAGUUUUUGAUAGAUCUAAAACGUUGAUUUGAAUUAAAUAAUAGAAACUUAAAUAAGACUGAAAGCUUGGCAAAAUUUGAACUCAGAACCUUAUGUUCUGAUACCAUAUUAAAUAAUACGUGACAAGUGUUAUUCUCUUAAGCUAAUAAAGAAUUAUAUUUUUAUAUUUAACUAUUUGUUUCUUUCUGUUCCUUAAUAGUGAGAUUGCGAAUCACAAUUGGAAUGCAUGGUAUCAAAAUACUUUUGCAAAUUCGUCAUCCCUAUUGAUGCUUGACGCAUUUACAAGAUUGGUUUCUUAAUGAAGCACUAAGUUUAGAUGUACCCACUUAAACCUAAAGGCUUCUACACUACAUUUUUGGAACUAAGCAAAAAUGAAUAAUUUAUGUAUGAAUCCAAUAGGAUAGAGUGGUUUCCCUGAUUAUUCCUUGGCGUUACCAGCAAAACAGGGCUACAAAGUAGUGACAACUCUUUCAUUAAGUUUACGCUGGGGCCAGUAUAAAGUUCUAGAGUGGUGGGGCAUGGACUAAAAAAAUUUGUUUUAAAUUAAGUAAGUAACGGAUAUAGAACCAAAUUAAUAAUAUAGAAGUUGUAGAAAAAUUAAAAAGUUCCUCCACUAAAGUAGCUACAAUAUAUAUAUUUCUCUCUGAAAUCUUUUCGAAAUUUUUUAAGAAAAUCAGAAUUAAAGCAGAACUUUUGCUGUUUAAAAUAACAAAAACUUAUAAUUCUCUCCGUCGUAUGCAUAAUUACUAGAUCUAAAUUGAGCUGAGCCCAACUUGACCCAAAUCGAGCCCACUUACAACUCCAUGCAAAUAGAGAAGUGCUAGCUAAAUUUUCUUUUUCUUUUUUUUUUUUUCUUUUUUCUCUAUUUUCCAUUUAGUAAGAACACAACAAAGGAAUUGUUGGAGCAAAAAUUUUGUAGAAAUCUAUUUAUAAUAUUUGUACAAAUUAAAACCAAUAUCUAACAAUCUUUCUAAAAUAAUUAAUUCAGGAAAAUUCUUUCCCACAUUAUAAGAUCCUUAUGCAAUUUACAUAUUUUCGUCGGAUUAUUGGAUACCGUUGGAUGGGGAAAAGCAACAGCUACGUGUAUACAAGUUUUACUAUUUAGAUUGCAUUUGGUUUAAAAUAGAAAUUGAAAUAGAUUAAAAUCGAAAAUGGAUUAAUAAAAUUUGGAAUAGUAUUCGGAAUUGGAACAGUUGAUUCCUAUCCUUACUAUUUGGUUGGAUGGAAAUCGAAGAACCAGUAAUGGGCAUGUAGGCUCUGGCCCAAUCGGGCCCAUAUAGGAGCCCAUUUACACAAUCGACACUUAACGACUCUGUUGUUUGGUGAGCCCACGGGCCGCCAAGCGGCCCAAGCUGCAUAACUAAUGCUAGGGGUACCUAAAAAUGUACCCCAAAGGCACGGAUGGCAAAGUCUAGCAAAACAACAAAUUGAACAUAUUUGAGCCUGUCUAAUCAAAGAACGAUGCAAAAUAACACAUUGGGAGUGUCCACUACAUACAUCAUCAUAUAUAAUCGCGUUAAAAAUUUUGCAUACAAUUACGCGAAGAAUCAUCUGCAUUAUCUGGAAAAAGCCGAGAACAAACUUACGUCCAGUUUUUCAGAUAGGAUAUUUAUUCAUUGAUUAUUUGUCAUUUUUAUGGCACAUUAAGCAGAGAUCAUUCGAUCUCAAGGCUCGUGGAAUUGUGAAAAUUAGGAAAUUAAGAAACAGUAACUUACAGAUCUAAAAACGGGAUUAACAAAUUAAUAAAUCUAUAGUUCACUGGGGACUUGGGAUUCUCCCUAUUCUGCUGCUCCUUGCUCGCCGCUCAAUCACGUGAUUCGUUGCUCGCGCUGCAGCCUCGUGCAGGUGGGAUUAUUGCAUCCACCCAGUGCACUGCGUAGCGUAGAAUUGCAUCGAUCAUAGAUGUUUUGAAAUUCAGCAUUUUAGCUCAUAAGAUGUGUUAUAUUGUUCAAAAACAUAUACAUCAAAAGUUCUAAACAUAAAAUUUAAACAACUAGUUUAUGCGAAUUGAACAGGAGUGUUGAUUUUUUAAAUUAAAUUUGAUCUUUUUUUUGGGUCACAUUUUAAUAGUAUUGGGAUGUUCUACUACACCCGUUGCAUCUAAUACUUCAAUGACCUCGUGAAGCAGGAGAAACGUAUUGUUCUCGAAUAUCUGCAAACACGAGGUUGUCCUUAUCUAUGACACGUCUGUCCUACCUGGACUACCCAACGUUGGGUAGCGUACUGUAACGUGACACUCCGUUUCGAGCAACAAUGACUAGUCUAUGUUAUCUCCCAACCAAAUAAUAAUACAAUUUAUUAUAAAAAAAUAUAAGUAAUAAAUCUUUACAGGUCAAGUUGUAUUAAAAAAUUUAUCAGUUUCAAAAUUUUAUAAAAAUAAAUUAUAAAUUUUAGAGAUUUAAUUCAAACUUUUAAUAAAUUAAUAAAAGUGUACAUACAUUUUUCCCGCUCGGUGCGACUCAAUCGUGAUACCGGAUAUCCGCAACGCAGUAUUUGUGGGGCGCGUCAUUAAUUAACUCAAUUAACAGGCCACGAGGGAUUAUAUAAACCCGAAAAUCACUCGUCACUCGUCCGCUCCUUCCACUUCUUUCUGUUGCCAUUCGCGGAGUCCUAGCUAAGACACGCUUCUAAUGGCGACGACGAAGGUGGUGGGAUUCGUGGGGCUCGACGAGCUCAGCUUGGAGCUCGCCUCCUCCCUCGUCAAAGCGGGGUAUCGCGUCCAUGGAUACGAGGUUCUCCUCCUCCUCCUCCACUUCUCUUCUCCUUCCUUUCUCUCUCAUCUCCUUGAAUCCAAUCUCGUUUCCUUCAAGAAUCGAAGGAUCGAUAGGUGAAUUAGGAAUCGUUCGACUUCUCCAAUGGUAUAGAUCUCAGUGCUUCUCCUACGAGCUAGCGAUUCGUGAACCAAGAAUCGCUUUGUCUCUAGUGCUUCGACGAUGAGAUACCGACGCGUGAAUGAAGAAUCGCGUUUAUUUGAUGUUUUGUUCUGCUCUGUGUGUUCAAGAAACCACAAGAAACCAAUAGUUCGAUUCGAGAAUCCAUCUGAUCACCAUGCGCUAGUAAUCUCGGAUCAAGAAUCCCGUUUCUUAGUUGUUAAUUUGUUCUUUUACUCCUCCAUCUUUUUGGAGUUCGCAUGGCUUAAUUUUGGACCUAAUUUGAUCCGGAAGAGUGGAUUCUUGAGCUCCGAUCCCGUAACAAAGUUCGUAAUCUUACUUAGUUUUGUGGAUCGUGUGAUUGAAUGCAGGUUGCCGGGCCGUCCGUGAUGGACGGGUUCUUGGAUUUGGGUGGUGUUAGAUGUGAAAGCCCCAUGAACGCUGCAAGAGGUCAGUUACUUGUUCUGUCUCCUAUCUUGAUGGCUGUAUUACUCUAUAUUUUUUUUUUUUGAGAGAAGGCUGUAUUACUCUAUUUUGGGACAUUUUAGGACGAGUAUACUAUAAUGCAAUAUCUUACUCUAUUUGCGAGUCAGGAGGAUCCUGUACCGCAUUAUUUGGAGUUUUUAAAAUGUUCUUCCAUUUAGGAUUUCGUUAAUGCAUAAACAAGGUAGAUCAGUGGAAGGAAGCGUGGAAGAAUUUGAAAGGAAAGAAAUGGAGAAGUUAUGGUUACUCUGCAGAAAUAAUAAAUCAAACUCCCUGCGGUUGGAGAAGAUUGAAGGCUACAUCAAUGAUAUUGAUGUUGGAAAAAUAUUCGAAGAUAAUGGCAAUGAUGCCUAAAUUUACAACAGGUGUUUGUUCAAAUUUCUUUAUGUUGACUAGCAGUUGACCGAAAACAUUCACAGUUGUAAGUAAAAAAUCUAACCCCACGGUGCAGGAUUUGUUGGCAUACUUGCCAAGAUACCACUGAUAUGCCUAUAAUAAGCAUCCUUUUAUGUUUCAUAUGAGUGCCCAAUGCUCGGCAGCUGUCAUUGCAAAGGAUCAUAUAGUCCUUUUCUUUUGGAGAUCUUUCAGGAUCAACUACGUGUGGAGCGAAAGCUCAUGGUAUAAGCAUGUGGAAGUACCUUGUUAUCUAGUAAAAGUAAAUCAGCCAUGAACUUCUAUAAUACUAGUACUAGCCUUAUUCUUGAAUAAAAAUGGUCAACGGUUGACAUAGGCUUCAAUUAUUUUUUGUGGAAACUAGCUCAAUGUAUUUCAUCUGAUUAUCAUUAGCAUUUGUUAUGCAUCAGGGGUUUCUUGAUUUGUUGUUAUUUUGAAGUUUGACUAACCUGAGUUCUUUUUCCCUUUAUCAGAUGCUGCCGCUAUCAUUAUAUUGAUUAAUACAGAUGAUAUUGCUAAUGUAUUCUUUGGGACAGAAGGCUUAGUGAAAGGUCUUGAAUUCUCUCGCAAUUUACUUUGAGCUAAUUUAACUAGUAUUGAACAAAUUUAUUUGUUUUUUGAUGUUAGGAUUGCAAAAGAAUGUUGUUAUCAUCCUUCGAUCAACAUUAUUACCAAGUCAUGUUCAGAAUCUAGAGAAGAAACUCACAGGUGCAGAUUUUCAUAUCUCGUUGAUCAUUGAAAGUUAUUCUUGAUACUUCACUGCGGCAUCAAUUCUCUAGUGGACCUUAUGUAUUUUCCAUACUGGUGACAAUAUAUGAGUUUCCAGUUGUACUCUUAAUUAUUCUUGAUAAAAGGCACUAGAAUUAGGGAAUGAAUUUUCUGGGAGUGGAGAACAGGUGAUUGAAUUUUUCAUGGCAAUGACAAAAGACCAAUUAAACAUAACAACUUCAUAUUCCUUUCUUUCUCAAACAUGGUAUCUCUUUUCAUCAUUGAUCUUAUUUCAUUGUUGAAUGAAGAUGUUGAUUUCUCAAGUCUACUGUAUAUAUGAAUAUUUUAUUGCCUGCUUCAUCAACAACAACAAGAAACUGGGUGUGAAGAGGGUCAAAAGAUGAUGAUGAUUAUAUAAAGCUGUAUACCUUUUGCAGAUAUGGAAAAGGAGGUGUUUCUUGUGGAUGCACAUGUUUUUCAGGGAUGUUCUGAGGCUUUGAGCCAAAAAAUUGUUGUGAGAAAGAAAUUGCACCAACAUCUUCCAUGCACCUUUCCUUCUCUUUUGAUUGUAGUUUAGGUCUUAAUUCUUUGUUUCAUCACCUGCUUAGGUUAUUGCAUCUGGAAGGGAAAAUGCAACACUACGUGCUCAACCUUUUUUGUCCGGUAAAAAGUCUAUGCAUUGUAUUGUGUUUUCUUGCCGACAACACUCUUUGGCAAUAAAGAAACUGUCUAUGCACUUCCAUUUUUAUUACGUAUUACUGACAACUGUUCUAUAACAGCUCUCAGCGACAAAAUUUAUCUAUUUGAAGGUGACAUUGGUACCUCAAGGUAGGAUUUAGUCUGGGUACUAAGUGGUAUAUGUGCAGGAUUCUUUUGCAAUACAUACUGUUUGUUUAGUCUUUCUUUUGUCUAAUUUUAUAAUAUUCACAGGAUGAUUGAUUUGGAAUUAUAAUAUCUGUACUAGAGAAUUCACUUAUUGAAAUUCUUCUAAUGUUUAUUUUCGUUUUUGUAGUAAAAUUAAGCUGGUAAAUGAUCUGUUAGAGGGCAUUCAUCUAGUUGCCUCGGUGGAAGCAAUGUUCCUUGGCGUUCGAGCUGGAAUUCAUCCCUUGAUUCUCUAUGAUAUAAUAUCAAAUGCUGCUGGAAGCUCAAGGUGAUAGAACUGGGUUAACACGCAUGUUUCUUAUAACAAAUUUUUUUUUUUUCCAAAUCUUCUCACUAUCUAAGGAAUUACUUUUAAAGCACUGAUAUUUAAAUUCAAUAUCACAUUAUAGUGCAAUUUAUGCCUUUAUGCUGUCUGUUGUCCUUUGAUAGCAUUAGGAUGUUUUGCCAUCUCCUGUACUGUGGGAAGAAAUUAAUCAUGUGAAAUUGAAUCUUUAACUUUCCUGAGGUUUUUCACUUUACCAGCUAAAUUAGUGUACUAGCUUAUUAAAUAAUACCUUUGUACGUUGUAUGAAAAUGACUUGUACAUCUUCAGGAUCUUCGUGGAGCUUGUUCCAAAACUAUUGACUAAUGAUAGCUCUCUUGUGAAAUUUUUGAGCGCCUUGGUGAAAAAUGCGGUAAGGUCAUAAUCCAUGUUGCAUUGAUAAUAUUGCCGUAUGAAAUUUCUACAAAACCUUCAGUGAUGCUUAAUCAUUUACAUACCUCAUGCUCUUUUCUUCUUUUUACUUUUUUUUCCCUUCAAACAAAUAGACAUAUGUGAUGGGCAUGGCUAAAGCAGUCACAUUCCCUCUACCACUUCUAGCUGUGGCAUAUCAGCAGUUAAUACAUGGUAUUCAACAAAUAUAACAAUGUUUCAUUCAGUAGGCGGUACCUAAAUUUUCUUAUUUAUAUUUCAGUUCCUUUAUGCUUUCUUGUACUUAUUUUCAGGUUGUUCAAUGAAAAUUGGAGAUGAAUUUUCCACUUCACCGGUGAAGGUAUAGUUGGUGUUCUUUAAGUAGGCUUUUGAACUUUUACGCUAUAGUCUGUUUGUGAUCAAAAGAAUCUUGUUUUCCAGUUCGAAGCUGGUUCUUUUAUGUGCUUGUGACAACUUUAAGGCACAGGUCUGGGAACAAAUGUUUGGAGUGAAUAUAAGAGACAUGGCCAAUCAACCAUCUUAUGAUGCUUGCAAGUUGGCAGAUCAACUUGCUACUCCAUUAAAAAUUGUGAACAGAGUUGGGUUUAUUGGCCUUGGAGCUAUGGGCUUUGGCAUGGCUGCACAUCUGCUAAGAUCAGGCUUCUCGAUUGCUGCUUAUGAUGUAAGAUUAUUAUGGCCAUAAAGUUAGUUUUUCUGUUAACAAAUGUUUCAGUUUUGCCUAGUUUGUACGUGCAAUUAUACAUCAUUAACAUACUUGAUUUGAACAUAAUUUGCUACUUCCAUUUGUUAUGUUAAAUGUUGUUUUUUUGCCUUCCCUAUGUCAUAUGUGGUUUGUUGUUCUUUGACAUAUGUAGGUUUAUCAGCCAACGCUGGCCAAGUUUGCUUACUUAGGUGGCAAAAUAGGGUCCUCUCCUGAGGAAGUUUCUAGAGGUACUCUAUAGUUUAGAAGUACAGAAGAAAAAGAAACUCCCUGUUCCAAAAAAGCUAUUUUCUUUCCAUUUAAAAUUUUUCAUCAAUUUUGUGGAAAUCUAGUAAUACAGUCUCAAGUAAAAUACUGCCAAGUACUCUCAUUAUGGUGCUUGAAAAGAAAUUUUCCUUUUUACUCUUAAUAUAUGCUACAAUAAUCACUCAGUGAUUGUUUCUACUACAGUAUGAUAUAAUACAUUGAUUAAUUCUAGAAGCUCUAUGGAAUUUAAUCUUAUGGUACUUACAAAUCAAUUGAUAGCUUAUCCCAAGUAUUUACUUACGGCUGCGUCGACCAUGCUGCUUCCUGGGCAUGCAUGUUGCAUGUUCUUGGUGUACUGCUCCUCUUUCUAAAACACUUGGUCAUUUUUUGUGAUUGAGUCUUUGUUUCUUAGGAUAGCUAUAUCCAUGAUUAUCAGUCAUUCAUCCUAGUAAAGCAUUACAAACAUUAAUUUGAGCAUGCUUCCAGAUGUAGAAGUGCUAAUUGUCAUGGUUGCAACUGAAGCUCAAGCUGAAAGUGUUUUAUAUGGGGAUGCUGGUUCAGUGCCAGGUUACUAACUUCGUCUUUAGUGCUAGCUGUUAAAUUUGUUAAAAUAGUUUAUCAAUCAGUAUCCGUACUUUAACAGUGUCUUCAAUAAUUGUCUGGUAUUUGUUUCAGCUCUUUCCCCUGGAGCAACCGUUAUUCUUUCUUCUACAGUCUCACCUGGAUUUAUUACUCGUCUUGAACAAAGAUUGAAAGGUAAGACUUCAUUCAAUCAAGUACUCAUCAAAAGCGAAUUUCUCUGCUUAUUCUCGUAUCUUCCUCUUUCUGUACCUAUAUUUCCUUUUGUUAUCUUCCUAUUGCUCUAUAUUACCUUUUUAUACUAUAGACCUUGCUUAUUAGAUUUGGCAAACUGUCAAACUCACUAUUUUUCUAGGCUUUAAGCUGUGACAAGAUCGCUUUUAACUUUUCCAGCUUUACUGCAUUAUCCGAAAUAAAUUACAAUCAGUUAUCCCUAACAUUACCCGGCUAGCCCUUAUUUCUAUUACUACCAAUAAAAAAUUGCUCUUAUAAACUGGUAGAAUAUCUAAUAAAAUGAACCUAUAAACCAGGAAAGGUGAGAGAGGAUAUAAUGAAAAAGGGGAAGGCAAGUUAAAGCAUGAUAAAUGUCAUGGUUUCAAGUUUCAGAUGCAAGGCCAAAAUCAUCUUUUUUAAGGUUAAAUUACAAAAAUCCCCCUUGCACUUUAGCCCCUAUCUCAAUUACACCCUGCAUUAAAAAUUGCGUCAAUGAUUUCCCUGCACUCUGUCUCUGUUUCAAAUAGGUCCAACAGUUUGGGAUAAUUGGUGAAUUAGGUUAUAAAAUGAGUUGGUAUAUCAAUUUGUUCCACAUCUGAAAAUUUUUCUAAUUUACUAAAAUGAGUCGGUAUGUCAAUUUGUUCCACAUCUGAAAAUCUUUCUAAUUUGCAACUCAAAAAACAGAUUAAAAAAAAUUAGAUAAAAGAGAUCUCCUAUUUUGCUAAUACUAUCAAAAUUGACAGUUUAUUGAAUAAUUUUAUUCAAUUUAAUAUGAUUUUAUUGCAUCAGUUAUUACUAACUUCAUCUGCCAAUUUGUUUUUAUAAAGUUUUACACCUGAAUUCAACAAUUAUCCUAAACUUUUGGACCUAUUUGAAAGAACAACAUAGUAUAGGGCGAUAAUUGAAGCAAUUAUGCAGGGGAAAAUUGAGACGGGGGCUGAAGUGCAAGGGAGUUUUUUUUUUUUAAAUUUAGCCUUUUUUAAAAUCUAUAACCAAACCGAAACUCAAUACUUAUUUUAUAUAGGGCCUAUCUUUUAGACUUUGGACUCCCAUGAGCAUAUGAUGGGACAUUGUCAUUAUUUUACCACUUCAUUACAGGUGAAAGCAAGGAUUUGAAAUUGGUGGAUGCACCAGUAUCCGGUGGUGUAAAAAGAGCAGCAGAUGGGACACUAACGGUAAAUUUUGAGCCCACAUUUUUUUUUUUCUUGAAAAAAUUUUGUUAGAAAAGAAAGUAUUAGCACAACUCAAAUCUUGCAUAUGUUAUAGACUCAGAAGUAUCUUAUCUUUCACACCAUCCAUUCUUUGAUAGAUAAUGACUUCAGGCACUGAAGAAGCUCUUCAAGUUGCCGGUUCUCUUCUCACCGGUAAUGAUUUAUGUAAUUGCUGGUUGGAAAGGACUUGCGUUCGCUGCAUUUAUAGAAAUUCAUAAGUUAUAAAAGUUGACUGGUUUUUGUGUAUGCAGCACUCAGUGAGAAGCUUUAUGUCAUUAGAGGGGGAUGUGGAGCUGCUAGGUGAGACAUGUUUGAGAUUGCAUGCAUGAGGAUAUUGCCAUGUAUUUGCAGCUUGAUUUUCUUGCAAAAUUAUGUACAAUUAAUUGGAUACAAAUCUGUCUAUCGUGAGUCCGCGAUAGAUAGUUAACUUCCCAAUUCCCAUGAUACACAUUAGCUCCAAGUAUUUAUUCAUCCUGUGCAUGUCUAACCAGUUCUGUAAAGAUGGUCAAUCAGCUGCUUGCUGGAGUUCAUAUAGCUGCUGCAGCAGAAGCAAUGGCAUUUGGAGCUCGACUAAGUAUACAAGCCAGAGUACUGUAUGAAAUCAUUCAACAUGCAAGAGGCUAUUCCUGGUCAGUUUCUUUGUGUUUUUUUUUUCCAGUUGUAUGUUAUUUUGGGUAAAUGAUGGCCAAUUUUAACCAAAUACACUUACUUCCCUGCAAAUUCUUUUUUGCCUUUUUACUUUAUCUGCGGCAGACUCAAUGAGCACAAGUGAAAAAUAUGAUCACAAGUUCUGCCAUAAUAAGCAGGCAAUCAUUUUUUGUUCUAUGCAAUCUUUGCAUGUUCUUUUUCGCCGAGUAUACUUGAGCACCACGAUAAGCAUUGAGGAACUUUAUGUUCAGGAUUUAUUGUUGUAUUUACCGAUUGUAUCUCGUGUUGAAGUGAUGUUUGUUUGUACUGCAGAAGCUUAAACUAUAUAAUUUCAAUUGAAAUGCUGCCAUAUGCAAUCAACUUUUCACUAAGGUAUUCCAACAAACACUUUUGACCAAUAUCAGCAAAGAUACAUUUCUUUCCUCGUUGAUUGAUUCACCCCAAUGGGCUGGUCAAGCGGGAGCAUAUGACUAAGCUAAAAUUCUCGCACAAAUGAUGGAAACAUCCAUAUCCCCCCCCUCUCUCUCUCUCUCUCUGUGAUUUCAUAUCAUUGAUCUUGUUUUAUUCCCUUGGAACUAGCAUUAUAGUCUUGAAGAAGCAGUCCGUAGAAGAAGAGAUGGCUCUGCUUCACAGUAUGUUGUCUUCUAUCGAUAUAGAUGAACAUUGCUUUGAUGCAUAUCAAGUUCUUUAAGGAUUUUUUUUCAAGAGAUAUUUAAGAUGCUCUGCAGAACUCUUUUCUUCUUCCAUGCAAUGUUGCUAUAAAGAUAUGCUUUUAAUUAAUAUUAUUAUAUUAAAACUCAGAAAAGUUGCAUAGUGAACCCAUACUUCAUUGCAGGAUGUUUGGAAAUCGUGUACCACACAUGUUAGAUGAUGAUUAUACACCCUACUCUGCAGUGGAUAUUUUUGUCAAAGAUCUUGUAUGAACUACCGAUUCCAUAUACUCUGCUUCUUUGCAAUGCAGCGUUAAAGUAGAUGAGACCAGAUUUUCUGAUACUCUUUUUUCUUUUCCAGGGUAUUGUUUGUAAUGAAAGCUCCAACUUGAGUAUCCCACUGCAUGUUACAACCAUUGCUCAUCAAUUAUUUCUUGCAGGUCCUGUUAAAUCAAUGAAGCUCCUCAAUUUUUUAUUAUUUAUUUUAUCCUUGAAUAUACCAUCUUGAUUGAAAUGAGCAUCAUAACUUGGAUCCUUUUUCCCAUAUGUUGGUUGCGAGUAUUGGAAAACUUCGUAUCGUUUACUUUUAGACCAGUGAUUAUGUAAAUUAACUCCUUCUCAAUUGGAGUUUUUGUAUUAUUUGGAAUCAUUAGGAAUCUAAAUGAAGUAUCAAUUUCUUGUUUCUCACAACUGUGCACACAUUUUACUCUAUUAGAACUGAUUAUCUUAAUUAUUUCUGGAUGCCAUUAUUGAACAGCCUCUGCUUCUGGAUGGGGGCGAUAUGAUGAUGCUGCGGUUGUGAAGGUAUAUUUAUUUUGUAAGAAUAAUCCCAAUUUUACGUGGUUAAAUUUAGAAAUCUCUCCUUGUAACAUUGAAUAUUGUAACCGAUGAAGCAAGGAUUUAAAUACCGUGGCACGGGAUCGUGCCAGAAACUUGCCGGCACGAUACAGCACGAUGCGUGCCGAGCCAUGCCGAUGCAUGCUGGUCACAAAAAAUACAUGUGUGCCGACACAUAACGGCAUGAAAUAUCUAUUUUCUUUGGCAACAAAAUAUUCUAAUUGUUUAAUAUGCAUCUUUAUCAAUUCUUUUGAACUUUAUUGAAAAAAUUACUUACUAAUUUAAAUAAUACAAGGUCUUGAGCUGUGCUAUCGGCACAGGGGCUGUAUCAUGCCAAUAUCUUGUUGGCACGAUACGACACGGUGGAUACAGCCCGUGCCGAUGGGCAUUUAAAUUCUUGCGAUGAAGUAUAUUUUGUAAGUACAAUCCUAAUUUGGCUCAAGAAUUAUACUUGGUUGGGAUCUCAAAACCCUAGAUUAGGUCUAGGCAUAUGGUAUGGUGGCUCAGGCAGUCAUUUUUCGUAAUGAUAAAUGGAGAUGGAGGUACGCAAUAAGCUUAUGGACGCUGAAUUUGUAGAUUUAAGUAGAAAGUCAAAAAGGUGACACAGAUUUAAAAGGAGAAGGCAACAUAAAAGACUAGAUAGGAUGAUAUGCGAACAAUAGAAGUGAUAAAAUAAUAUAAAGAAAAGAAAACAAUAAAACUUGUCCUUGAACAAUGAACACUUGGGUGUUUUACCUUUUCUAGCAAAGUAAGUAUGCCCAACAAUUCUCGACUGUUUGGGAAACAUUUGAGACUCUCCUUGUUUCUCUUCCCAGGAAGAUCACAUUCACUGCAAAUUCUUUUGUACAAGGAUUUAAGUGCUGGCACGGGGUCAUGCUGAAAACUUGCCGGCACAGUGCAUGCCGGGCUGUGCCGAUUAAUGCUAGUCACAAAAAAUGUGUGCCGACACGUAAUUGUAUGAAAUAUUUAUUUUCUUUAGCAACAAAAUUUGUAAUUAUUUAUUAUGUAGUUUUAUCAGAUCUUUUGAACUUUAUUGAGAAAAUUACUUUCUAAUUUCAAGAAUAAAGGGUUUUGAGUUGUGUCAUUGGCACGGAGACUAUAUCGUACUGAUAUCUUGUUGUAUGAUACGGUACGUUGGAUACGGCCCGUGCUGAUGGGCACUUUAAUCCUUGCUUCUAUAUUGCUUGCACUAAUAGGAUGUUAGAAAUGAAAUCAAAUGUCUAGUGCAAAAAAAGAGUAACUAGAAGUUAGUAACUAGAAGUUGCAUUGACACAACUAACAAUUGGGCGUCCCAUCAAAAGGUUGCUAUUGUAUGUUAUCUCACUAUCAGUCUUACCUAUAAUGUGUAUUUUUCUUAUGUUUCUGCAGGUUUAUGAGAUUACUGGUGUCAAAGUUGAAGGAAAACCACCAGUUCUUAGUAAAGAAGAUGUCUUAAGUUCUCUUCCUCCUGAAUGGCCAGAGAAUCCAAUGGAAGAUCUUCACAUUUUGAAAUUCCAAAAUAGUUCAAAGGUUUUGAUAGUGUUAGAUGAUGAUCCAACUGGAACUCAAACUGUCCAUGACAUAGAAGUACUAACAGAAUGGUAGUCUAUGUGGUUAAUUUUUUUUGUUUGUUUUAAAUUUGUUGGUUACCACAUGCUGUGCUAUACAUUCUGCUGAAAGUGAUUUUCUUCCUCCAUGUGAUUCUUGACUAAUUUAUGUGGUUCAAACUUCAUUUUGGUCAAAACAUUUAUUUGGUCUGACAACAAGAUUUUUUCAUGCAGGAGUAUUGAGACUCUAGUAGAGCAGUUUAAAAGAAGGCCUGUGUGCUUUUUCAUUCUAACUAAUUCGCGAUCACUGAAUGCUGACAAGGUAGAGAAUUUACAAUUACUAAACAGUAAUAAAUCUUUCUCUAGAAGUCCCUUAAAGGAAAAUAUUUUGUUCUACUGCUCUUAUCGACUGUUUGUAGCUCUUAUCUGGAAUCUAACACAUUGUAUAGUGAUUAUAUAAUCCAUGGAAUAAGUUUCUUAUCACAUAAACAUUGUUAAGUUCUGACUGUUUUACAGGCAGUCUUGUUGACAAAAGACAUCUGUAGAAAUAUAGAAGCUGCAGCUAGAACAGUAAGUGAUAUUAGUUAUACCGUAGUCUUGCGAGGUGAUUCAACUCUUCGUGGGCAUUUCCCAGAGGUAUUUGUUCUUUUUCCUUUUUUCUUUCCCUCAUUGAUGUCUUGUGAUUCUAUCUCUUCUUUGUGUCGAAUUGCCUCUUAAAGGUUUUCACACCUAAUUGAAAUUCUGUAUCUUACGAUUUUCAGGAAGCCGAUGCAGUUGUUUCUGUACUAGGUGAGAUGGAUGCAUGGAUCAUAUGUCCAUUCUUCUUUCAAGGAGGACGUUACACCAUUGAUGAUAUUCACUAUGUUGCGGAGUCUGACAGGUAAUCCUGGCUCUGUUUCCAGGGGUUUCUGUUAUCCUAUUUAUCGCUGAAAUUUAAAGCUUGGGUUUUCUUCUUCUAGAUUAAUUCCUGCUGGCGAGACUGAAUUUGCUAAAGAUGCUGCCUUUGGUUACAAAUCUUCCAAUCUCAGAGAGGUAUCAUUCUGGAGGCCGUUUUAUUGUAUAUGUAUAAAGUUACAAUCAUAAAGGUCAUGGAGGAAUAAGAAUGAUUACUUGAUACUUAGUGGGUUGAAGAAAAAACUAAAGGGCGUAUUCCGGCCGACAGUGUCUCCUCGAUUUCUAUACAACUUUUGCGCAAGGAAGGACCAGCUGGUGUUUGUGAGCACCUCUCCAGCUUGGAAAAGGUACCCAAGAAUAUCCUCUUAUAUACAAAUAUUAAAGCAAAGGCUACUUUAGUGAAUAUGGUUACUUUGUUACUAAAGGUGGAAUCUAUGAAAGUAAUGCCGUAAAAAACAAAUUGGUCCUUUUUUAAAAAAAAUAUCUUAAGAAACUGGUGAAACUAUUAGUAUUGACUAAGCUUUGUGGAUCUUUGGAUUGUAUAAUUGACUUGACUUCUAUAUAUAUAUAUAUAUAUAUAUAUAUAGCUUAAAUGUCAAAAGAUAUCAUUUUGUUUUGUAUUGCUGCUUAGGUGAUAAAAAAAAUAGAUUAGAUAGGCUAGAAAAUCUAUCUAGUUCUUUAGUAUUACACAUAUUUAUGCACUGUAUGCAAUGUUUUUCAACAGGGUUCAGUGUGUGUGGUCAAUGCUGCGAGUGAAAGAGACAUGAAUGUAUUUACAGCAGGAAUGAUUCAGGUAUGCCAAAUAGCCGAUUGCCUACCUCUAAAUUUUAUUUACAUUGUUAAUCUGUUUCUUACGGUAACUUUCUUGGUAGGCCGAGAAGAAAGGAAAAUGCUUUUUAUGUCGUACAGCUGCAAGCUUUGUGAGUUCUCGAAUAGGCAUCAAGCCAAAACCCCCAAUGUGCCCCAAAGAUCUUGGCAUAGAAAAAUGUAUCAGUGGUGGCCUCAUAGUUGUCGGUUCUUAUGUUCCAAAAACAACAAAGCAGGUUCGAAUCUCUACUUGUGGCUUGUGUUCUUCUUUUAAUUUCUGACAUCAAUAUAUUUUGCUCAGCAUAAUUGUUCCUUCUGUAGGUCGAAGAACUUAAAUCACAAUUUGGCCAUAACCUGAAAAUAAUAGAGGUGAGUUUUCCUUCUGAUUUCUAAUAAAAAGCAGGUCAUGGUAAACAGACUUGUUAAGAUAUCCUAGUUGCUUCUUUGCCAAUUUGUCUAAAAUUUAGAUGGAUUUGAUCUUAGAUUCUUUGACAUCUUCAUUUUGUAUCUUGUUCUCUCAUUUCUGACCCUAUGCAGGUUUCUGUUGAUAAAGUCUCCAUGAAGUCAAACGAGAUGAGAGACAAAGAGAUCAUCCAUGCUGCUCAAAUUGCAAAUGCUUCUAUAAAAGCACGGAAAGACACUCUAAUAAUAACCAGCCGAGAGCUCAUUACUGGAAAAUGUCAUUUUUCAUCUCUCUCUCUCUCUCUCUCUCUCUCUCUUUUUAAAGUGCACUAAACCUAUAAAGAUGUGGCAAUUUGAACGUUUGCCGAGUGAUGCCGGUAACUUUAAACAACUAAAACUCGGGUAAGCUAGUGAUCCGUUUACUAUAGCUUUUUAUUAUUUUAAAUAAAAGAUCCAUGAGGUUUAUGAGAUCUAGUUCAAAUUGCCUCGGCUAGCUGCUAAGCUUUCAGCGUUGUAGCUUUUGCUCGAUCUUCGUGUCUUCCGAGGCACGAAGGCUAUCGUAUCAUCUACACAUAUAUAUAUAUAUAUAUAUCNGUAAGAUUUUUAUUUUCAGCCGUUGAUUUUGAGCCCCUUCGUUCACUAGGCAAAUGAUAUCGUAAAAUCAUAAAAUUUAUUUUCUAGGUACCUCAAAUACUCUAGAUCAAAUUUAACGGAGCCGAUCGACGAUUCGAAAGUCGCAACAUCGAAAACGAGCUGGAAGCACGGAAGGCUCCGUGCUUCCGAUAGCAUAGUAGCCUCACUCUAUAUAUAUUUAUGUGUGUGUGUGUGUGUGUGUGUGUGUGUGUCUAAUUGAAUGUGCCGAUGAAAACUUAAAGUAUCAUUCAAAUUAUUGAGUCUUUGCUCUAUAUGAAUAUAACCAUUUCAGUGGUUCAAAAAUGGAGGAAAACAUAAUUAAUACAAUUCUGAGAAAUAUCAGGAUAUAGAAUGAACAAAAUGAUCUUGAUAGUAAAUAUUAAAAACCCUAGCAUAUUUUGGUCAUUAUGGAAAAUUAGACAAUUAGCAAGAAGGUAUCUGCAAGAAGUAAGAUUACGGAAUGCAAGUUGUACAUGAUAAAGGCAAAAAAGGGAUACAAGAGGACAAAAUAAAGUUAUUCUGACAGCACUCUUAUUCUUUUAGGAUGCCAAGUAACAUACUUUUGCCUUGUAGAAAUGAGUAGUUGGAUAGUAAUAUAGUAAAGGUCAAAUCCAAUCCAAUAAGUCAAUCAGCCGAAGCUCGAUAAAAAGGGUGUGGAAAGGAAAUUGGAAUGAUUUGUGUUUCUUCAGAUUCAAUCUAAUUAACCAAUAAAUUGAUACAGUUUCAAUUUUUACAAGCUGCUUUAUCAACUGCUUAGGUUGGGCACACAGUAUUUGGUGUCCGAGAUUUUUUCGACUAAAUAUUGUGCACCUUGAUCUCAAAUAAUAUGUAUUAUGUGGCUUGAGCUUCAAUUGUUCAUUUGAACUUGUGCUGGAGAUUACACAAUAUACCUAAAUUGGAGUAAGUUGUGUUUCUGCUAGCUUUUUCUAAUUAGGACCCCUUACUAGUUUGUAGAAUCUAAUUUGUUCCUUCCAUAUCUGUUUAUUUUUUAGAAUCAUUUGCAAUCAGCAUUUUAGUGAGCUCUUGCUCCUUUACAUCUUUUCGUAACUAUUGACAAUCAUAGUUUACGCAUGACUUAAAAUGGAAAAAGGUAAAAGACAAUAUUAUCUGUUGUGCAAUUUCACCAUUUCUUUUGUUCCUGACCAUAUUUUAUGAUAGUUGUUAGUAUUUUUCGGCUUUCCUAUUUCUAUGUGGGAAUGUGUGAUGCUUUUUUUUGGUCCUAAUUUGGUGUCUUCCAAGUAAAUAUAUAUAUAGAAAACUAUGGUCUUCUUUCAUGGAUUCUUAGUUUUAGUCACUAUUUCCAUGGUCCAAAGCUCUUAUUACUAUUUUCUUUUAUUGCGCAGCUCCUGAAGAAAGUCUGGAGAUUAAUUAUAAAGUCAGUUCUGCUUUGGUUGACAUUGUUAGAAGCAUUGACUCCCGACCGCGUUAUAUCAUUGCCAAGGUACUCAAACAAAUGCAAAACAACAUCUUUCCUUGUCAUCAGCUUUCUAAAUAUACCCUUAGUACCUAGUUAACAGUUAGUUGCUAGCAAGGAAGCCUAGACCUCAACCACUAUAAAAAGAAAUUACUCUCUGGUGGACUUUCUUAAUAUUAGGUCAUGGCUCUGUGGCAGAACACUUUGAUUAGUUAAGUGAAGAAAAAUCAUAUGUAAAGUGUAGCGUAUCAUUAUUGAGUGUUCUAUCUGUUUCUCUAUCUCUCAAAUGCAGUAACUAGUAAAUUGUAAGACAAACUUGGGACUCAGUCUAGCCAGCUAAGUUUCCAAGAAUAUCAACCUUCGAGUUUUUAUGCUAAACAUUUUUAUUUAUUUGUUGCUUUUAUUCUGAAGAGAUAAACCAGCUAUGAAGUGUUUUACUAAUUAAUGAAGCGUCAACUGCAAGCAGGUUGAGAAUAGAAUACCAAAUUGGGUUAGAUCGCUUUUUCAUUUAUACUUUUGUGUUUUUACAAAUACAAUUUCCCUAGUAUUGUUUUAUUCCUGUUGUAAAGCUUUCAUAAUCAUGAAACUAUCUAUGACAGACUAUAGCUUAACAAGUAGAUAAAAUGAACAUCUGAAUUUUUGGGUGUUUUAACUAUGUUUCGGUACAGGGUGGAAUAACUUCAUCCGAUCUUGCUACUAAAGCUCUAGAAGCUCGGUGUGCUAAGGUAAUUGGACAAGCAUUAGCUGGUGUACCGUUGUGGCUGCUAGGUCCAGAAAGCAAACAUCCUGGUCUUCCGUAUAUUGUUUUUCCUGGUGAUUAUAUUUCUUUAGUGUUUUUGGUAAAAGAGAUUACUCCUCGAGCUUUUAUUUUUUCAGUUCAACCAAUGUUUUUCUUGCCUUGUAAUAGGUAAUGUUGGUGAUAAUUUUGCUCUGGCAAAUGUAGUAAAAAAUUGGGCUCGGCCUCCUAGAAGCUCAACAAAAGAACUACUACUUGUAAAUUCUUUAUGAUGUUUGUUUUUUUCUUUUUUUUUCUCCCUUUUUGCGUUAAUCUUGUUUGGCUAAGACGCUUGUUCUCAUGUAGAAUGCAGAGAAGGGUGGAUAUGCUAUUGGUGCAUUCAAUGUCUACAACAUUGAAGGUAUUGAAGCAGUUGUUUCGGCUGCAGAAGCUGAAAAUAGUCCUGCUAUCUUGCAGGUGUGCUGGUUAUGGCUUAUACUAAUUUAUUAGAAAAAUACAAAAUCCUAUUGUCUAAAGAAAUUAAUUGAGGACCUUAGCUUUCUCAUUGGUGGCUAAUUCUUUUUAGCUCUGAUUAGAUUUACAAGUUUCUUUGUCAUUCCAACUAGUCUUGAGCAUACCAUAGCAUGCCUUGACCUUAUUUCCUAGUAUUUCAGACUGAAAUUUAUGGAAUAUGUCUGCAUGGUUUAGUUUGAUAUUCUGUACGUUACUACCUUUGUUUUUUCCACCCUGAGAAAGAAAAAGCUAUUAUAGUUUUGCUUAUAUAUUUUCUCACAGAAUUUUGUUAAGAAUGUAUCAAAAUUUAUUACCAUUGGAAGAUCUGUUGAGGGGGAUUCAUUACGAUUGUUUGUAAUCUAUUUUAUUGCAAAAGAUAAAACAUUAGGAGCAUAAUAUCAUCAUCAGGAAGAUAGUUGGUUUAUGGACUUCGGUUUCUGAAUCGAUUGAGUUUUGAUUUCCAGGUUCAUCCAGGUGCUCUAAAGCAGGGAGGAUUCCCCUUGGUUGCUUGUUGCAUUUCUGCUGCUGAACAGGCGAUAGUAAGCACACCAGAAAAUAUAAUAUGCUGAUUUUUAUUUUUUUUUUAUUUUUUUUAAAAACCACGUGCACAAUUUCAUUAACAAAUACUCCUAUAUACUUUUAUGUUAGCAAACGCGUAAGUGCAUCCGGAAAAUAUAAUUUGCUGAAAAUGUUUUCAGCCAUCUGCACAAUCUCACUAACAAGAACUCUCCUUUAUGCUUGAAUGUUAGCAAGCAAAUGCAAUAAUUAUAAUUGUAGAAGUAUCAUUGCAUGAAGAGUACAAUGUUUGUCACUAUAAACAUCAUCUCUUUCCAUGCAUACUAGGAAUCUUACAAGGUCAGAUGAUCGGUGGAUUGUUCUUAAUUGGCAGCAUUCAGGCUCAUGAAAGCCUAAAGCCAGACAACCCACUUUAUAGAGCUCCUUCUGAGCAUGGAAAAAAUCUAUAAAAAGGAAAGAUGUACUGACCACAAGGCAUAAUCAUGCUGAGGCUAAAAAAGAAUAUUAGAGUCUUCACAUGUCAUACCUGAUAAAAUAGUUCCAGAUAUUAAAGGACAAGUAGUUUAACUUUGUAAGCUUUUCCAUUCUGAUCAUACAUUCUUUAACAACUUCCUAUACUUGAACUUACAAGUAGUUUAACUUCGUAAGCUUUUCCAUUCUGGUCAUACAUUCCUUACAACUUCCUAUACUUGAACUUUUUAAUACAUAUAAUGCCUAAUCAUUAUCAACAUUUAACUACUGUCUUCAAAAUGAUUUUCACACCAUAUUUUUCAUACUUUAUAGCAUUAUUGUAUGUUUCUGUCCAAUUUUCAACCCUAUCUACCUAGUUACUAUUCACAACAACAUGGCAGGUGCCUAUCACUGUUCAUUAUGAUCAUGGAAGUUCCAAAUCUGAGCUGCUUGAAGCUCUUGAGCUGGUAUGUAUGAAUUCAGAGUCAUUACUUCAUUUCAAAGACAUAAAAGCUUCUAUCUAGCAGUUGCAUAAUGUGUUGUCACUUCCUGUCUAGGUUUUCUCUUCCUGAAGUGAGUAUAUGCUCUUAUUAGUUAUAUUGUUUUCUUGAUUCUGCUUCCAACUUUGGACUGCCUUAUCGGUACUACUACAGGAUUUCGAUUCAGUCAUGAUAGACGGUUCACACCUCCCUUUAGAGGAAAACAUUUUAUUCACAAAGUAUAUAUCUUCAUUGGCACAAGCAAAAGGGAUGUUGGUGGAAGCUGAACUUGGGAGGUUGUCGGGCACUGAAGAUGGCUUAACAGUUGAAGCUUAUGAAGCUAGACUAACUGACGUUACCCAGGUAAAUUUACUCUGUUAUUCAAUGGGCUUCAAGAAAAGUACUUGCUGAAGAUUUAACGUUGUUUAUUUUACCGGUGAUGGUGGUCAGGCCCAAGAAUUUAUUGAUAAAACAAACAUCGAUGCUUUAGCAGUGUGCGUCGGAAAUGUUCAUGGAUCAUAUCCGCCCUCUGGUCCCAAUCUCAGACUCGACUUGUUAAAGGUCAGAUAAAGGCAAUCAGGUCUUCGUAGUUCAAUAGAUGAAUAGGAACUCUCACAGUUGUUUUUACGAGUGUUCCAGUCUAAAGAUCCGUAAAGUUUAUCUUGGUAGUUCAGUUCAAAAAGUAAAACAUUUGUAUUUGCAUGUCAGUUGCAAUGCAUAUUUUCUCUUUAAGGUGUCAUGCAAAAUAUUUGUGUCAGAUAUGACCAACAUAAAAUCAAUGACAAGAUAGCACCUUGAGAAGCAGAAAUUUGCCUAGUAAAGAAACUAAGCUAUGAAUUCAACGUCUUUAAAUGAUAAGCCUGAAGAGAAAGAUUGGCUGAAACUUAACCUAAACUAGGUUGGCUACAAUUGGAUUUUCAGGUUGGGUGGGAAUUGUACUGACAGUUUAGCUAUCUUAGCUUCAAUAUUAAUGAUCUUACAAGGAUUCCAUCGUGAACAAGUAAAGUCUACAGGGGACUAUUUUAUGAGCAAGCAAAUAGAAUUUUGUGUAAUGUUCCAAUCACAGCUUAUCAUUUUCAAUUUUCUAUCUAAAAUAGGCAUCAAAUUACAAAUACCCAAUCCUUAAUAUUGUUGUACUGAAGCUCUAUGAACUUAAAAAAGCCGCAUCACCUUUUAUUUGGAAGACAAAUUAUUAGCAGUGAUGAAUAAAAGUAUUACAACAAAUACUAACAUAAUAAUAUGGCCUUUGUAUACAGCGUCCUACUCUUAUAAAUUGGAGAGAAUUAGAACUACCAAAAAAGUAGACUUUAGGUAAGUAGAAUAGAAUCAUUGAGGAGAUGAGCCUCUUUCUUUGCUUUGGAUUAGAACUUCGAAUUGAUAGUAUGUGUCCUAUUUGAGCUGUAUGUUAGCAUCUAUACAGCCUUUUCCUUUUCUGUAAGUCUGUCACAACCCCCUGGUUGUCCGUCCAGAAAAUAUACAUGUCCCUGUCCGCCUUUUGGAUCAUAAGCAUGCAUUUUGGAAGGCUAAAACAUAGGUGCCAAAUGGGUCAUAAAAUGGAUUAUUGUUAUGAUUGCUGCUAGCGUUCAUAGUAUUAGUUUCAUUGACAUUAACUUUUAAAAAUCAUACUUCAAUUCCAAUGGCAUAAUUUUGCUUCCGAUUCUUGGUGAGAUUUUGUGUUUUCCCCCUGAUAUAUUAAAUCGCAUCACAGGACCUUCGUGCAUUAACAAGAGAAAAGGGAGUUAGUUUGGUUCUCCAUGGAGCAUCUGGAUUGCCGAGGGAACUCGUUAAGGUGCGUAAGUGCUUUAUGCAGAAAGCUAUUCAUCUUGUUGCAUGAAUAUAGUGAUACCCCUCAACAAACAUCUCAUAGUGAUGUGAUUGUUUGGAGAAAUUGUUUGGAGACAGCCAAUGUACAGGAGUCUGUUAAAGGCUCAAAAGGAGCAUUUAACAGGAAAUGCAGUAUACUGAUGGUAAGAGGGGAGUUAACUAAUGGAUUAUGCAGAAGAGCAAACCAUCAAUAUUGCACCUUUAUUUCUGAUUAGAUGAUUUGCAAUGAGUGAAUAGUAAGAAAUGAGCAAUAGUAAGAACUAAAGUGAAUUAGUGGCGGCAUCAUGCUUAUGUAAGUACUCUCUCUCUCUCUCUCUCACCGCCGGUGUUGAGCAGGAAUGCAUUGAUUUAGGCGUAAGGAAAUUCAAUGUGAACACAGAAGUUCGAAAGGCUUACAUGGAAUCUCUUAAAGAGCCACAAAAAGAUCUUGUUCUGGUGAUGGCGGCUGCAAAGGAGGCAAUGAAAGCAGUAAUUGCAGAGAAAAUGCACCUCUUUGGUUCAGCUGGAAAAGCAUGGUAGAAAAGCGGAGCGAAAAGCUCUGUUAGCUUCCCAAUCGAGCAUUCUGAUGAAGAUCUCAUCAAAAUGCUCUGGCUUAAUCAUCACGCACAGCUUUACUAUAACAAAGCAGUCGGGAUGCCUAAGUUCCAACCAUUUGGGCCAGCUACAUGUACCAGUUUUUUAUUUGCUCGCGGAAAUGUUUGCCGGAUUGUUUAGUUACCUUACACCUAUUUCCUUUUCUCUGCUUGAUACAAGCUAUGAAAGGGACAUUUGCACCGCAUAGGCCUAGGCCAAUAUUAUGUUAUCUAGUCAUAAAUUAUGGACAUUUUAGAACGGGCAACAGAUACUCUCAUGGGCGUGUUAAUUAAAAAUGUGCUCUUUGGUUAAGGCUUGUUGAUAGAUCCGCCAAAGCAAUUUGGAGACGGUACUGGUAAAUGUUUUCAAGAGUUUGCAAUCGCUUGCAAAAAGAAGAGAUUGAGUUCUUCCCUCUGCUCUCUCAUGUUACAAAUUAUGCUGUCAGUUAUCUUGAGUUUGAUCACUCACUAUUUCGUUCUGAAAUGGCCCAAGUUUAUCAUAGAAAACAUAAUUAAUGAUGUAUGCUCCUUUUAAAAAUAUGAGCAAUACUGUCUACACUCUAAAGGUGGGCAUAAAUCAUACAUUUUAGGGAAAACUUCAAAAACCCCCCUGUGGUUUCGUGCAUUCUCACUUUGCUACCCUGUGGUUUAAAAUGUAUCAAUUUGCCCCCCUGUGGUUUCGUUUUUAUCUUUUUGUUAUCAAUUUUAUUAUUAUUUUUUUUUAAAAUCAGUGACAAAGUUAAAAUUAAAGGAUACUAAAGUGACUAUUCGAUAAAUAUAGAUGGUUAUCUGAAGUUUUUUGUAUAUAAUUUAACGAAAUAUUAACGAAAAAGCUUUCGAAAAGAUAAAAAUGAAACCACAGGGGGGUAAAUUGAUACGUUUUAAACCACAGGGUAGCAAAGUGAGAAUGCACGAAACCACAGGGGGGNUACUGUUUCACAUAAAAAAAGAAUGCCCAAUCAAAGAUAAGUAAUAUAGCAUUGGUUAUGCAAAUUAUAAACAUGUACAAAAAGAAAAAGAAAAAAAUAAUAUUAAAGCUAGACAACUUAGAUUAUAAAGCUAAGCUCCAUCUCGAUGCUUGUACAAGGAACUUUUUUAAAUAUGUAGUUGCCUUUAAAAAAAAAAAAAAAAAAAAACAAAACAAAACAAAACCAAAAACAGUAAAAAAGUAUGAUAAACUGUAUAGUCAUGCUGUUACUUUUGCAUGCAUGUAUUAUGUGAUAAUAUAUUUUUUCGUUGCCACUAAGAACAAUUAUCAUUGAUCAAAUUGCUUAAAACAUCUUAUUUCUGAUCAAAAUUUAUAUUUUUGAAUUUCUUGAUAAAUAUAGCGAAUCUUAAAAAUGUGAUUUGUAAAUACCACUUUUUUAUAAAUUUGACAUAUUGUAUAAAAAGCAUUCAAUACUUACGUUACGCAUACACCUCAACUAACGACUUUAAAACAAAUAUAAGGUCGAGGUCAUUAGAAGUAACUAUCUAACAUUUGAAAAAAAAUUAAAUUUCACCACUUAACCUUCAGCUUAUCUAUCACCACAGUAUUUCUCUCUUUUUUUUUUUUUUUUGACAAAUAACAGCACACUGCCCACCUAUUUAUUUGGAAAAUAAACAAACUUAACAAAUAAGAGACUUUAGGGCCUCCGGGAAUUACCAAUAUAACAUUAGACACAUGUAGCUUUUGGAGUAGCAGCUAAUGCGCCCUCACAACAUCCACCGUGAUAAUCAUAUCACAUCAACUUAAGGGGGGGACAAAACAAAGAAGAAAUAUUCCACCACAUGAUGGACAUCAUGACAAUCAUGCCACAUCAAGAUAAUCAAUGGCCGUUACUCAUCUAGCCGACCCUGUCUGUACUAGAAGUUAUUUCUAUUCUACAUAUUUUGAAAACAAUAAAGAAUGUCUUAUUCCCAAAUCAACUAUAUAGCAUAAAAGCACAUACUUAACAAGAUACUUUGUGAAACCAAUAAUUAGACCGAAAAAAACAGCUGUUACAGUCAUCCACAGUCAACAAUCUAAUAACACAAAUACAAACUAAACAAUAGUGAUGACUAAUGAGCCCCCAAUCACAAACUAAAAGCCCCUUCAAAUUGACAGAUCAACCAUUAAGAAAAUAGCAUUCCUGGGCUACCCAAAUACAUCAUCAACAUGACAAGCCAAUGAGCAACUCAGCUUAAAGAAAACAAACAGCAUGGUGACGAAUUUAAAACGACAGUGAAAGAAUAAGUACACAUCUAGUCUUAAACUAAUUCAUUAAGAACUAGAGAUUCUACAAUUUAAAUAGCAAUCAUAGAAUCAUUAAAUUCCGAAUAGGAUCACCACUGCAAAACCUCACAAAUUAUCGCAACUACUGUAGAUCAGCAUUAUGAUGAGCACUUUUAUCAAAGGCCAUGCUUCAGGACUCCCACAUGCCCCUCAGCUGUGCUCCAAAGAAUGAAGAGAAAAAGAAAAGAAAAGAGAACGAUAAAGCACGCUUAUGCACACCAUGUCUUCAUCUGAAACAUCCCGCGCACAGAUAUAGAUCAGAUAUCAAGCACAUAUAAAAUACCUACUCUUAACAAUUUAUCAUAUUUAGGAGUAUGCGAAUGCAGCAGGAACUGUAACAAGUAAACCCCACUAGGAAAAAAGCACAUGAAGUGAACAGCAAAAAGGAACAUCUUUUUCAGAAAAAGAGAAGGAAGUCAAACAGCCGGAAACUACUCAGAUUAAUCUCAUUGAAUCGUUUUCACGAACUAGGUCAAAUGAGGCGAUUCCAUAAAAAUGUACAUCUAUGCAUCCACAUUACACAACAUACGCUUCAAUUAACACUGCAUCUCCCUACAAUUAGCAAAUCUAACAUUAAGAAUAGAACAAAUAAGAGUGAGAGAGAGAGAGAGGGAGAGGAGGAGGAGGAGGAGAAGAGGGCAUAGAAAAGCACCACAAAUGCGAUCAGAAACUCUCAGAACCCGUCGUUCGCCUCUUCCGGCCUCACCUUCCGCGGCCGCCCCCUCCCCCUCUUACCCGGCUGCGGCGGCGGCGCGGCCCCCAUCAUGGCCGCCGCCGACGACGACGUGGACGCCGAGGCGGCGCCGGCCGGAACCCGGGCGGGCCCCGGGCCUCGGACUUCGGGGGUCGGCCGCGGCCGCGCUUCGGCGGCGCGUCGGGGCCGGCGACGAAGUAGUUGUUCUUGAUGAAUACAAGCUCCCCGUUCUGGCGCAUGUGCAUGAGGUGCGCCUUGAGCAGCGCCGAGUGCGACGGGGGGAGCUCCCCGUAGUUCGACUGUAUGUACUUGGAGAUCGACGUCUUGUUCGACCCGUUCGGCUCGUUCAGCGCCGUGAUCGCCGCCAUUAUCAUCUGCUCCGCCGCACCCGAACCAAAAUCCCAAGGAAAUUAGGGUUUCUAGAACCUUCCAAAAACGGGGGAGAAAAACCUAAAGAACGUUAGGGUUAGCAUUUGGGGUCGCGAGGGUACCUCCGGGUACGUGGGUAGAUGAUGAGGCGGCGGCUUCCCAACCUCUUCACCGGCCAUAGCCAUGGCGACGAGAGCGAGAACAAAGCGACGAGGAAGAAGAAGAAGAGAGAGAGAGAGAGAGAGAGAGAGAGAGAGAGGAGUUUGUUGUGAUUAGAAAUAUUUUGGGGGGGGUCGGAAAGGAAUUUAAAAAGGUGGGGUUGGGUUGGGGAUGGAUCGGAAAUGGGGAGAAGGGAAGGGAAAAAAAUAAAAGGAAAAAAGGGGAAAAAAGGGGUAAGUGAUAAUUUAAAAUAGAAGUUGAAUGUGGAAGGGAAGGGGUAGGGUAGGGGAUGGGAUCGACGGUCGGGAUUCGAUAGACGGCGUUGAUCAGACGGUCGUGACUGGGAGGAAUAGGGGAUCACGCGGAUUGCUGACGUGCAUGGGGCAUUGGAGUUACCUUUCUCUGAAUUUUUCUUUUUCUUUAUAAUUUCCGCUUUGUCUUUUGCCAUAGCCUCCUCGAGCUGAUACAUAAAAGCCACUUGAUAUUUGUUUAUUUACGGAUCAUGCCAUGAUGGGUGUGCCCAUGUUUGAAUGGUUGCGGAGUGAGGGCAUUUUAGUCAUUUUAUCGUUUUCUGCUUUUGUAUCAGAUCAAAUCUAUUUCUAGUUCCUGUAGUACCAGGAUAUUAUAACUUGGUUCUAUAAUUUUUUAAAAAAAGUAAAAACACAUCCAUAGUUCUUCAAACUUUUUACAAUAAAGAGAUAAACUAAUUGCUAUCAAAAAUAAAAUUAUAAGACGUAAAAAACAAAAUUAAAAUGUUAAGGCAAUCAGAUAAAAAAAACAAAGAAAUAAAGUAAAAAAUUAACCCUAUAUUUGAAUAUUGAUAUUUGAACAGCAAAUUUUGUCAUGAGUAAAAUAUAUACUUUUUAUUAUUUCGCUUCAUAAUUCUAUUUAAAAGAGGUGUUGUUCUAAAAGAAAUAUUAAAAAAUGGAUGAGAAAAAUUUAAAUUAUUCUUCUAAUAAAAUUUAUUUUGCAUACUUCAUCAUCCAAAUGUUGGAAGCACUUUUGUUGCAAAGUCUACAAAUUGAAAUGGAUGAUUUUAUUUAUCUACCACUUAAAAAUCUUUGAAAAUAAUUUUUUUAUCAAUAUCAAUUGUUAAUAUAUCGGUAUAUAUGAUGUGAAAAAUUUUAGUUGAAUUAUGAAUAUUGUAUAAAAGUGUUAUAUGAGCUUGACAAUAUAUUAGCAACCCAAAAUUUUUUUUUUGAAAAUCAUUAUAUUUUUAUCAUAGUUCUGUUUUUUUUUUAUUCUUCUGUAUUGCUGUGUUAACUGAAGAUAAUUUUUAGAAUAUUAUUUAUGUAAGAUGUGGAGCUCUUGUGUUGGCUUUUAUUUGGUUCACCAAUAUAUCAACGGUCUAUAAAAACAAUAACAUAAAAAAAUUCAAAAAAAAUUGAAACUUUUUUUUUAAUAUUUUGAGAAGUUAAAAAUCGCACUUCGCCCCUCAACAAGUGGAUUCUCCUUUUUGAGGGAAGAUAGGAAACCACUACCUUCUUUUUAUUCUUUUUUUUAUGUGGUAAAAAUGCAUGAACAAACCCCCAAUGUAGGCAAUUGUGAAAUGUACCCUACAACUUUUUUUUUUUUUUUUUGUGUGAUCGAGACUCCCUCAAUUUUCAACCAAUUUUAGUUCCAAAAACUUAAAAAUUCUUUCAAAAUCAUCGGUGAUUUUGAAAAUUUGGAGAUAAAACUUGACCGAAUAACAGUUCACAGCUUAUUAAAUUAUUAAAUAUGAUGAAACUUUUAACCGGGGCAUUAAAAUCUCAAGUAAAGGAGAUUGAAAGUUUUGGAAAGUCUCAAUAGUAAAAAUAAAAGCUAAAAGGUCAAUGUCCAACGUUGCUAUAGUUGAGGGGGGUCUCAUACAUUUGUACCUUAAUUUCCUUUCCUUUUGUUUUCUUUUUCGUGGGAACUCGUUUCCCAGAAGAAGAGUGUUCCGAUGGUGUGCAUGCUCGUAGUUGUUGCUUCUGUACGUUCGAAGAUUCCCAGCAAGUACCCCUCAACCACGCAUACGAGGUGGGGUCUCAAACUUCUCAUGGGGCCCACCAUUCCACACACUUCGACCAAUAGCCACUUGGGGCUGUUUUGCAAAACAGUCCAACCAUUUUCUCGAUUUUGUAAUUCAGGCCUCACUUUCUCGCGCUUUGGUUGAAAUCAUUUUUUUCGUGCUAGGCCUCGGCAAAAAGUUGGUUGGGUUCGAGCCGGACCCAACUAGCUUGAAGGGAAAAAAAAAAAAAAAAAAAAAAAAAAAAAAUAUAAAUAUAUAUAUAUAUAUAUAUAUAUAUAUAUAUAUAUAUAUAAAGAGUUGAGCUGUGAUGAUUUUUAACAGUAUCAUCAUCAUGUGCAUUAGGUUUUAAGCAACAUUGAUCUCUUUUUUAUUAUAAUAUGCCUUUGAUUAAACACUAUUCACCUAACCACUCAACCUAUCACGAUCACCGUCAACCUCACAUCUUUCCAUCCAAGAGCUAAAAUAAUACACAAGUAUCACCCGCAUGAUACUUUACAAGUAUCUAGCCCUACUCUAUAUAUAUAUAUAUAAUAUAUAUAUAUAUAUAUAUAUAUAUAUAUAUAUAUAUAAAGUCCGGCUGGGAUACUAUCGAUAGCACCAAGGACUUGGUGCUAUCGAGUUUUUUUACCGUUAGAUUUAACCCUUGAUUAGUUUUAUCCGUUAGAUUGUACUAUUCAACCAACCACCCGCUCAACCCUAGGUAAGGGUGGCAAUCCAGCUCGCUGUUCGCGAGCCAGCUCGUGUUCGGCUCGAAAUGAGCUCGAAAUUGAAUCGCUCGUUUAGUAAACGAGCCGAACACGAGGCGAAUUUUUCGGCUCGUUUAUUAAACAAGCCGAACACGAGUUGGAGUCAGCUCGUUUGUGUUCGGCUCGAUAACAGCUCGAAUACAUAUAUUUUAUAUUUAUAUAAUUUAUGUAAUUUAUAUUUAUAUAUAAAUAAAUAAUUAUAUAUAAUAUAUAUUUUUAUUAUUUAAUUUUUAGCAAAAUAAAAAUAUAAAGGCAAGCUCAAUUAUAAAAAACUCAUUUAUAUAUAAAGUUUCAACUAUCAGGUCAAAAUCUAAUUGAUAAGAUUUUAUAAAUUUAUUUUUUAUAUAUAUUCAAUCUAAUCCUUUUAACUUAUUGUUCGUUGGCCAGCUCGUCAGCCAGCUCGUGUUUGGCUCGUUUAUUAACGAGCCGAACACGAGCUGAAUUUUUUGGCUCGAUACUUUAACAAGCCAGCUCAUGUUCGGCUCAUUUUAAACGAGCCGAACACGAGCCGACCUCAGCUCGCUCGUGUUCGGCUCAUUUACACCCACUCAACUCUAGGGGGGCCACAUCAUCCUAACCGCAUAUUUUUCAAUCCAAGGGCUAAAAAACUAAUAACACCAAUGGCUUGGUGCUAUUAAUAGUAUUCCAACUUAGUUAUAUAUAUAUAUAUAUAUAGUACGUCUUCCGUACUUUCGAAAGUACAAAAGUCUUCGUACUUGUAAGUUAUUUUUGAUGAUCAAACAUUCGAUUCAACGAUCGGCUCCGUUAAGCAUAAUCUACGUUAUUGAAACUAUUUAUAAAUCAAAUUUUAUAAUUUUUCGACAUAAUUUACCAAGCGAUGAUAGGGUCGCAAAAAUGACUAUUUUAACGGCCGAUGUGGUACAUUUUUAAGUUCAACGGUGUCGAAGUAUCCAAAUUACAUGAAAAUUUAAUAAAAAAUUAUACUUAACAUCAAGAGUAAAAACAAUACUUCCGAUUUAAAAUGUGAGUCUUUUAUCACUAUUUUUUAUGAGAUUUUUAUUUUCAGCCGUUCAUUUUGAGGCUGCUCGUUCACUAGACAAGCAAAGUCAAAAAAUUAUGAAAUUUGGUUUCUAAAUAGUUCCAAUAGCGUAGAUCAAGUUUAAUGGAACCGAUUGCCAAAUUGGAUGUCCCAUCAUCGAAAACAACUUAUAAGUACGGAGGUCUCCGUACUUCCAAAAGCAUAG
rnacentral:lncRNA from 1 species